AUAUUUAGUUAUAUAAUGUAAUAGAAUAAUGGCUCUACUUCAGACAACGGGCGCUUUGUUUGUUUAUUAUUAUAAAUAAACGAUGACAAGAUGCCUUUUGCAUGGAGCCUAUACAAAGAAUCCAUCCCAAUGGAAUGGUGUGAGGCUGCUACACGAUUGGAGGUCGUGCUUAUACUCAUUUUAUAGCCCCCUUCAAAUUUAAAGUUGCCACAUUCUCUCGUUUUAGUUUUUUUCUUUUCUUUUCUUUCUUGUUUUUGGAGCAUUUGGUGUUGAAUUUCUUUUUUAAAAAAAAAAAAACUUUUGUUUGAUCGGUUUCGGUGUUUGGAUUUGCAGGGUUUGAUUCAGAGUCCCAAGUUUCUCGGUGGUGAUUAUGUUGUUAGAAGAAGUGAUUAGAAGUAAUUGUCAAUUUGAGGUUGCAUUUUUAAAGUGCGCGCAUUAAUCAAUCACAAAAAAAAAAAAUUGCAUGGAAAACUCAGAUUUUAAAUCUUCAAUGCAACAUAAAGAAUUAUAACAUGCAAGGCUAUAAUAAAGGUUUUUUUUUACGCUAACUCCAGGUUAGGAGUGUAACCAACGAUACUCAAAUUCAUGGCCACUAAACAGUUUUGCGAGUGGAUCUCACAAUUAAGUUAAUACGCUGUAAAUAUUAAAUUUUUUAUUAAAGAAGGUGCGCAGAUGAAUAUGAGAAUUGGACUCGUAGCAAAACCCUCUCGAAAUAACAAGUGAUAAAGCUCAAAUUAAGCCAUUCUUAGUUGUCAUUCCACAAAUUCCCCCAUUCGAAUUAAUGAAUAAAUAAAUAAAUAAUCAUCAGCAUGAUGUGUUUCUUCUUACCUUUUUUUUUUUUUUUUUUACUCUCUUUCUGGCAGAUCAGCAUUUCAACUUACGUGUCACAUCAACACUUCACAUUGUAAAAUGUAUAACUAAUAAUUGAUAAUUAAAACUCAAUAAAAAUACAAAGAUUUCCUUGAUAUAUAUAUUAUAUAUAUAUUAUAAUAAUAAUAUAUAUUAUAUAAUAUAUAUAUAAUAAGAGAGGAGAGAGAGAGCCACAGAGAUAGAGAGAGAGAGAGAGAGAGAGACCACCCCUCUAUACUUAUCUAUAGUAACGUCCCGCGCCGCCCAGCGGUUCCGGUAUAUUCUCCUUGUUUCGAUCUUAGGGUGUUCCAAAUUAACGAUCAACACGCUAAAAUGAUAUUAGGGUAUUUUAAGUUUUUAGAAAUAAAAUUUUAUAUUUUUUUCGACAUAGUUUACUUUAUGAUCAAAUUAUUUUAAAAUUGUCAAUUUUCAAUGGCUACUAUGGCGAGUUUGGAGUUUAAUGGUGUAAAAGAAUUUAAAUUUUUUUAAUUUUUGAUAGAAAAUAUUUUAAACUAUCUAGAUUAAUGUUAAUAUUCUUGAUUUUGAAUUUAAAAGUUCUAGUAAAGAUUAUUCAAUUUUUACCGUCCAUUUUGACAUAAUUUAUUUACUAAGUAAACGAUGUCGAAAAAAAUUAAAAUUUUAUUCUUAAAAGCUUUAUAUAUCUUAGAUCAUAUUUAACGGUGUGGAUCGUUAAUUUGAACACCCUAANNNNNNNNNNNNNNNNNNNNNNNNNNNNNNNNNNNNNNNNNNNNNNNNNNNNNNNNNNNNNNNNNNNNNNNNNNNNNNNNNNNNNNNNNNNNNNNNNGGUACUAUAUAUAUAUAUAUAUAUAUAUAUAUAUAUAUAUAUAUAUAUAAUCAAUCUUAAGCACUCUCCUCUGUCUCGUUCUUAAUUGGCUCAUCGCACUCUUUCGCCCCCUUGAUUUCCUCUCUCUCCGCUUCAUCACUCUCCCCCCUCUUUUCCUCAUUCACCUCCUUUACCUCCUCUGGUUGACUAUUUUGACCAUUCUGACCACCCUUUGAUAUCUCCAUGUAUUGUUGACUUUCUUGACCCAGUUCAGCUGCAUUCACCUCAUCUUGUUCAACAACGAGUUGACCAUGGGGGUUGACCUUUGACGCCUCUUGUUCCUCUUGUUGACUCUCUUGACCUAUUUCACAACCUUUUGUGUUCUCCUCCUCGUGCUUAUGUUGUUCAAGUCGACCAUCCUUCGACUCUCUCUCUCGCUCUUGUCGCCCCUUUUGAUUGACUCUCUCGUUCUUCGUCUUCUUCUCGAUGUUUUUCGUCUCCGCCAGUUGUUGUCGACUGUCCUUGCUCGUCUUUUCAAUCUCUUCUCCUCUCUGUACUUUGAUUUCAUCAUCGUCAUAUGGUUGACCUGAUUGUCCCUCUGGCUCUUGCAACGAGAUGACGGUCUCGAAGGCUCCGACGAGAGCCUUCACUUUGCUCCUCUUCGCCGCCAGCUUGCUGGCCGUCUCCUCUAUCACUUCGUUGUACAUUGGUAGCGUCUCUUUCCCUCCCACAUCCUGUCUCUUGAGCAUCGCCUUUCUCUCUUGCUCUGGCUUUCUGUCUCCUUCCACCAUCGCCUUCAACCUCCCACCAUCGCCGUCAUUUGAUGCCGCCUUUGCGCGGUGGGUCUUCGCACUCUUUGGACUCUCACUAUGUUCAUUCUUGUGCUCUUCUCCGAAGCCCGCAUAGUGCUUGUUUUUUUUGCUGUCCUUCCGCUUCGGUGGUGACUUGAUUUCUGGAAGCUUCUGCUUUGACGACUCGACAUCCUUUUUCGGCGUAUGAUCUUGUGUCUCGCUACCAUUCGACUUUUUAGUUGAAAUAUCGGCGUUGAUAUCUCUUUUCUUUGUUAUAAACCUCGGGAGGCUUCUCGCCCUCAUGAGAGUCUUCUUGGGACUAUUUUCAAAACCGUCGUCGGAUGAGACUUUUGCUCGAUCACCGCAACUGGUUCGCAAAGCCGUAGACAAUGGCGAAGGAGACUUAUCGUCGAUAGGUUUCCGAGGAGGAAGGGUUUUUCCGGCCGUUAAUGAAACCUCCGAAGGCUGUGAGGUGCUCUUCUUCGGGUAGUGGCAGUUAUUGUGAUGGCACGAGCUUAUCGUCGGCCUGAGAUAGUUUGGUAUCGGCUUUUCCUCCGGCAUCGAAGGGUCUCGAACCAGGGAUUCGAUGGUCAGUCGUUUCGAAUGUCGAAUGUCGCCCCUUCGUGGCGUCGAGGGGGCCGAGAUGCUCUUCUCUUUGAUGAGAGCAUCUUCUUUCACCUUUGUAGCCAUGGUCUAAUGUUGUAACUGCACCUGGUGAUUGGUUAGGAUAAUGAAGUUGUAUAGCUAGAUUACUAGAAUCAUGGAGAAAAAAAGAAAAAAUUAGAUUCGAGACCAUUUAAUCAUUCAUGUCAUAUGGUUGUUGAUUAAAAUGAUCCUGAAAAACAAAAAUCUACAAGGCCUUUCCAAUUUAUACGGGGUUAAAUAUUUCAUGGUAUUAAAUCCAAAAAGCUCUUUGUUGAGAGGAACAUCAACCCUGGAAUAAAACGAAACUCACACAUGUAUUCUAGCAAAAUCCAUCAUCACCAGUGAUUUGGAUGAAAAAGAAUAAUUAUUGGCAUAGCUUUAUUAAAAUUAUUAUUGGACAUUAUAGAAUUAGGAUACAUGUUACAUGGAAGUUUCCCUUUCCAAGAGUUAAAAAGAGAAAAAUAAGAAAUUAAUCUAAGAUAUUCUUUCUUGCACAAAGGAAAUAAAACCAAUCUACUCCAUUCAAUAUUCUUUUCUUUUCUUUUCUUUUCUUUUUGAGAAGACCACAUUAUUCUUUGCUAUGACAAAGAAAGAGUAAGUAUUGAAAAAAAAAAAAAAAAAUGAAAGUGCAAUUGCUGAAAUAUGAUUGUACCUUGUAUGAAGAAACAAUAUAACUUGUUUUCUAACUUAGAGCUUCUUUGGGAAAUGGAGGCAUCUUUAAAGGCAAUAAAUUCUCUUCCUGGGAGAUCAUUUUGAAAUGUAAAGAAGGGAACUGGGAGAUUGGGUGGCUUUAGCUGGGAUGGUUAAAAGUUGGGUUGGUUAUUGAGAGGUUAAUGGAGCCAGCCAUGUUCUAAACCAAUGUAAGACCAGGUCAAUGGAGAACAACUUUGUUCCUACCUGGAAUUUGCCAUGUUUAGAAAGGAACUUACCAGAAGAUUCUGCUUGUUUAAAUGUUUGUUACGACAUUUACUCAAAAAAGAAAAAAAAAAUGGCAAAAAACGAAAACAGAAAAAACUAACAAAGGUGAGACUCUUUUGGUGCAUUUUAAGUCAUAUGGAAACAGAAGGGUUAAAGUUAUUUAUUUUUCAUAAUAUUAUAAUGCUUGGUAUAAAUCUCACGCCCUUACAUUUAAGUCCCCAAAGAAAAAAUGAUUAGACUAAAGAGUGAAUAUCUAAAUCUUACACGGAGUUUAGAAGUGUCCAAAUAGCAUUACUCGAAAAAGAAAAAAGGAAUGAUUUUAUACACCCAGGAUGAUGCAAUCCAGUCUCUCUUUGAGAAGCAACGCUUAAUGGUUAUCAAAUAAGAAAUAGGAAGCAUUUGUUUUGGUUUAGGUGAUAUAGUCUUAAGCAAUACCCAAUAUAAUAAGCAACACACCGAGUACAAUCAAUUGCAAAAUGCGAAUGUAAUCAACUUUGAUACAGUAUUUUUCUUUUUUUUCACCCGAAAACGAAAGGCUUUUACACAAGCAAAAAGAAAGAAUCUGAAAGAGACUUGAGAACACCAAAGUUGUAAACAAAGUAGAUAACCCUCCAGGUAUGUUUUACACUCUCCUGUACACAACAACUCAUUGCCUCGAUUACAUCAUACAGCAUUCACUCUCUAGGAGAAACCAUUUUUAUCUUCACAAAACAAUCAAAAAGGGGUUAAAAAAAAAAAGAGGAAAAAAAGAACAAAAUGCAAGCUCACAACCAAACCUGUGACCUUAGGACCGAAAGAAGCGAGAAAAUAGAAGAGAAAAAGAAUACCGGACCGCUAAUAGAAUGACUCAAAACAACAGGGGAAAAGAAUCGGUAAAUUCGGCGACGAUGAUAAUGUAAAGAAUCCUUUUUUGGGAGCAGAAGCAGCUAAAAAAGCACUGGCGGCUGUCCCCGUCCGAACUAUAAUUUUUGGUGGGUCUCCAGACCCCCAGUAAACAUAUUUUUUGGGGGGCAAAUAAUAACAUCGAAUAUAUCCUUUUAACCCCCUAGGAGAUUUUUUUUCUUUUUCCAUUUUCAUGGACCAAAUGGAGAAAUCUCAAGAGUAUUCGAGGACAUCAAAACAACUGAAGGGCGAGUUUAAGCCUAUUCUGCUUCCAUUUGGGUAGCUUGGAGAAAGCCUCCUUUGUCAUGCCAAACUUUCCUUUGAAGUCAGCAGAAGAUAAAUAGGUCUGCAUUUGAUCAAUAGAAAAAAAAAAAAAAGGAUCAGGUCUUAAGAGACAUGAAUUCUACAAAAGAAAAAGAAGAAUAAAAAGGUUAAAAGAGUUUCACCUCUCGCUUGGUCACGUCUAUUUCUUUGACAGGGUCAGGAGAGUUCGUCUUCAGGCGUUCGUAGGGAUAGAUAGGGAGCCCUUCGUCGUCUUCAGGUUCGCCCUCCUUUACAUCUUCCUGUAUUGUGAGAGCUUCGAUCCUACUACUCAUCAAAUGGUUUGUCUCCUUGGAAUUCACCUCCGGUUUUGGCUUGUUUGCCUCCGGACUCGCUACAAAACAAUGGAAAAUAAGUCAAAUUUUCAGUAUAAAAUAUCUUAAGAUAUUUAUAUAUGACCCUGCAAAAUUAUGCCUAUAUUUGUAUGCUAUAUCCCAUUCAAAAACUUCCGACUAACAAAAGUAUUCCUCUUUAAGAAAAAACAAAAAAGAAGUUGUAAUGCAGGGCCCCAAAUAUAUUUUCUUUGCUACAGUUAAAAAAAAAAUCAGAAAAUCUUUUCUUUCCUGCUGAUAGAAUACAGUCAGACACAAGCACAGACACACACCUUUCACCAACUUCGGUAUAAGAUUUUGCACCGGCUUCUCAAAAGAAGCAGAGAGCGUGGCUAUAGAAGACGACUUGGGGGCCAACUUGGCUGAAUCAGGUGAAAUGGAUUUUGGGUAUAGUUUUCUAACUACCGGUGGAGUAGAGAGAUUUCUUGCAUUUGGAUUCUCAAAGUUUGCGGCAAGGGCAUUGAAGGCAGGGGAUCUUCCUCUAACACGGACCCGUUCAGGACUGAAGGACAUGCUUCGCGAUCGCUGCGAUUUGUCUGGCACACUGGAUCUUCCUCCAUAUGAUGUUGGUGUUCGUCUCUUAGGUUUCUGAGAUAAUAGCAAAAAUUUAGUUGCGAAGUGAUAUUUAACAAAGCUUUUCCUUGAAGGAUUUGUAAUAAGCAGAGAAGUAACUUCACUAAGAGACAUGACUACAAAUGAAGUCGUUGAGUUUGAUCCCAAAUUGGAGCUACAUCCGUACUUUGAAUUUUUCUAAUUUAGGCAAAUUUUGUUUUGAGUGGCUGUAAAGCCCUUCCAUCAAUCUGUGGUCUGAAAUAAUGACAUUUUAGCAUCAUCAUUGAAACUAAAACCUAAAUAACAGUGUUCAGCGAACUCUGAUGCUGAUGCUGAAGUGAGUCUUUCCUUCAGACGGUAGCUAGCAGGACUAAAUUGUCACAGGGACAAACUUUAGGAGCUAAAUUGUUGAAUUUGGGGUCGACGCAUGAGGAGAAAGUGUAAUUAAUCCAAAAGGCAAGAAAACAGUAAGACACAACUUAGCUAUGCGCUUGUGAUCAAUGGAAAGGAUGUAACUUUAACCCUGACAAUUUGUUUUACACUGGAAGCUUCUCAAAGAAUUUCAGGAGUCUAUCCAUCCAAAUGUUUUACUCUUCAAUGACAAAAUUUGGAACUCGAGUAGAGAAUAUAGAGUGACAGUCUUAUACAUCAUUCUUUACAAAUUUAAAAAUGAGUACUCAACUUUUUCUUUUCCUCAAAAUGGGUACUCAAUUUUUCUUUUUCUGUUUCUAGCAUUAACAUAUACCAGAUAUAUUUUAACAGCUGCCAUUAUUUUGUCAAGAUAAUAUCCAUAUACUUGAGAACAAGAUAAUUAUAAUUUCCAAAACUUGGUUAGAAGUACAGAUAGCAUAAAUAGCAUCUUACAUCUAAUGUAGGGGUUACUCCGUUCUUCACUAUAGAUAGCUUCCUCUGGAAUGAAUUGCCAUGCAUCUGCAACCAAAAAGAAAUUUGAUCAAAUUUUUCUGAAAGACAAUCACCGAACCCAGAUUUUUCCUCUCUAAGUACUAUCGCAUAUAUCAUGCCUCUAGAACACAUAAUGAUCAAAAAAUAGGUUUUGCAGCGAAAGUUCAAUUUCACAGUAGAGAAGUUUACCGCUGAUUUUGCGGAGUCCCAGGUGAAGAACCGAGUGAAGAAGGUCGGUUCACUUCCUUCCAUGACAAUGAACAGUGGAGUUUCACGAGAUAAAUUUUCCAUAAGAAAAUCACAUUCCAGGAAUUUCUGGUCCAGAUCAGUAUAAGAAAAGGUAUCCAACAAAAAAACAAAGAAAAAAAAAAAAAAGAGAAGGUAUGAGAAACAGAAGAUUUGUAAAAUUUACAAUUGAACUAUUUGCAGCAAAACACUUCAUAACCAUUGCUUUCUUUGGAGAACAUAUCUUCCACCGAGUAAAAAUAUAUCAUAUACCUCUCCAAUGCUCAAAGCUUGCGAUCUAAUUUUUGAAUCCACCUGCUGUCCGACCCAGACAAAAAUUUCCGAAUGACUGUCUAUAAUAAAUAUAUCUUCUGUCAUCAGAUCAUCUUGGGUGAAGUUGAAUAUUUCUGUAACCUGCAAACACAAUAUAGUCAAUAUCAGACGUUUAUACUUCAUAUGCUCAUUAGUAUAGGAAAGAUCUAACAAUUUCCCAGUUACCCACCUUUAAAUUGCCUGUAUAAUCCCCACCACGUGUGUUUCAGAGUAUGGUCCAGUGAAACAGAAAGUUAAAAGGAAUCAGAUGUUUGAAUACAGACCAGAAUAAUAAAAUGAGUAAAUAAAUCCGACGAGAAUAAUGCUCGCUAUCUACCUUUCGAGAAAUUACAGGAGAAAAGGUGUGAAUCACUUUCUUGUUCUCUCACGAUCUUCUGACUUGGGUAUUCAGAUUUACCUCCAAGCAAACUCCAAAAAUGCUCUGUUUCUGCUCCUUCCCUUUGUGCUCUUGACUGUAGAUUCGGCUGCACAAAUUGAUAAGAGAGCAGGUAAGCAUAGCACAGAUCCAUUUGAGAAAAUUAUAACAAUUAAGCUAAAACACUAGUAAAAAUCAUGUACAAUUUUUAGUUCGAAUACAUGUGACUUCGAAAGGUACUAUGAAAAGAUAAUUCUUUGUUGUCAUUUAUCUUAUGCCUCUUCAUACUCUUGACCUUAUUUGUAUUCAAGUUUUCAAACAGAAUAGUAUAGUCACUUCACAAAGAGUCUUGAGACACUCUGUGAAAGGCCAAUGCAUAGACUUGUAUUUUCACAGAACUAAAGAGAACUCGGCCAUCCAAUAACUACGGCCCAGAAAAGAGCUAUAGGAAGAACAUCACAUCAAUAUAGAGAAAAAAGGUAUUAAAAGAUCGUGCUCUCAUGCACAAAAUUCUGAACUAAAAAGAAAAUUAAAUUAGAAAAUAAAUCUCCACAAAUAUCGAUCGAAUUGUGUUCGAUGAUUUUGUCACACCUUAAUCACAUCUAGCUGUCUUUCAACCAGCUCUUGGUCCCCUGUGGUGCUAAGGCUUCCAGACCAUGUAAACACAGAAUUUCCAUCAUGUAGUAUGUAACAGUAAGAUGAAUUCAAAGACGAAGCCACCUGAUUAAAGUAACAUCAAGAAUUCAUAAUGUUCAGAUAAAGUAAAAAGUUUGCUGGAUAAAGUGGUAAAACUGUGCACAAUGUUACUUGUAAAAAAUAAUAAAUUAUCUACUAUAGAUAAAUUCAAAAGAGACGUACUGGAUCAACUUGAAUAGCUUGCAUAUUAUCUGGUCCAGAACCUUGGACCCGGAAAAGAGCAACUCCAUCUUCUGAAUAUGUCUCAUCAGCAAUGCCAGUUUCAGCAAUAAAAUUCUUAUAACCAGAGCCAACACCUCCCUGUGAUUAUCCAAAACAAAAUCCUUAUAUUUUGUGCUAGAACUAGAAUACAGCUAGUAAAGCACAAAACUGAAAUGCAAAUGGAGAAAAAGUGAAGUCCUAUGGAGAAGGUUCUGAGAAUAGAAACCUUAAAUACUACAAAACUCUGGAAUAUAGAGAAGAACUGAAUGGGUUCCUUUCCUUCAUAAAAGCGAGCCUGUGAGCAAUUAAAAAAAUUGUUAAAUAAACUGAAAGGACAAAAGUUUAGUCAAAAUCAACUCACAAAUAGAACUGAUAAUUACCAUAACAGCUUGAAACUUUAAGGGUUCAUUCAUCUUGUUAGAAAGUGAGAGAGCUGCAGUUCUCUCCUCCUGUAACCAAUAGAGACACUUUAGUACAUAAUGUCCUCUUGGUCUAUAUUGCAUUCAUUCAUCGCAUUAAAAGAGUAAAUUCAGUUGGCACUUCAUUAGCUUUGAAUCUUAAUAUUUCGUUGUAUUCCUCAAGGAUCGAAGUAUCGUCAUGAAUAAAAAUGUGUCUAGUGAGCGUGCUCAUGGUAUUGUGAUGUAGUGGCGAUUUUAUUUGUUGGUAUGAUCUACCUUCUUUGAGAUAUCCAGAGAUCAAAGAAUGGCUUGUAAAUCUUUGCCACCUAAAAUCAGGUGAUCUCAAUAACAGACAUUUUUUCUGAUAAUUCAUAAAUAGAUAAAAUUUACUGUCUGAUGCAAGGAGUUUGUUUUAUUGAUAAGCACAGAAUAAUCGAGAUCAGCUCAUUAUAUGUUAUAGGGCAUCAUCAAUUGUCUAAAUCAGAAUUAAUGGCAUUGUUACAGAGCAUUGAUUUUCAAUUGAGGAAUCAUAUAAUAUUUCUCAAAAUGCUAGAUUUUUUACUGGUAUUUUUAAAUUUUCAAUAUGCACCCUCCAUUUUGGGACCCAUUAGAUAUAUAUGCUGCAGCACUAUGAUUAGGUUUCCUUAACCUAAACAAUACAGAUCAUACCUAAGGAUAUAGAUCUUCAGUAAAGAAACCACAAAAUUGAUUUAAGGCGUGGAGAUAUUGGUAGAAAAUUUUAGUUUUUAUUUGGAAUUAAACUAUAAGGGCAUAGCAAAAAGUUGGUUUUCUAUUUAAACAAGAAGAAUGUAUAUACUUUGAUAGUCUGCAAUGCGUCAUUCUUCCAAACAUCAUGUUGACUGAGACUCAAGCUUGAGUUUGGAGUUUUUCUUAAGUAGCUCAGAUAAGUGCAAAGUAAAAAUAAUAUCAGCAUAAUGAUAAGCUUAAGAUCAUGCUUCAUCCAGUUUCUAUUUAAAAUAAUUAAAAGAACAUUAACUCUACUUAGUUACUACUAUCCACCGGUGGUUUCUGAGAUCAAACACAGUACUCUGUCAAGGUCUUAAGAAUCAGAAAGUUACUAAAUAUGAGCUCAAGUUUACCUCAAUACUCUUCUUCCCAAACCAAGUUCCAAUAAGACAUUCUUCUCCAUCAUCUCCAGGAUAUGCAUAUUGAAAGAUAUAGCAAUCUCCACUGUAAAACUUAGAUUGAUCAGAUGAUGACAAAAGAGCCUUUUCCUUGCCAUUCACUCGCCAAACCUAUAACAUUCGAAGAAAGGAUAUUAGACUUUUAUAAAAUAACUGAAAUGCACACUAUAUUAGGACAUUAAUUUUAUACUUGAAAAGGGAAAUUUUGCAUCUAGACCAGUUCUGUAGUUUACACACAGAAAAUAAAAUUUUCUUUUCCUUACAUAUAAGGUCUUCAUGUGCUUUAUUCGAAAUUUAAAGUUUUGAGAAAGACAUAUAUGCUAGCUUCAAAUUUUGCAAGGAAGCAACUGCAAAUAUAAGACUUCAAGAGAAGUAUACCUUCAGUCAAUAACAUUUCGAGGGAUAAGCUUCCAAUUAAAAACAUUAAGAGGAGUGUAUAUGCAGGAAAAAGUAAAAUAAUCUGCUAAGCUACUAGUCCUCACUAUUAUGACAACACAGAUAUGAGAAGAGCACAUCACGGAAUAGUAAAAACACCUGCAAGUUGCCUGUGCAAUCAAUGUAUGGUUGAGGCUCUUCUUUGAUAGGAGCAGCCUUCAUAAGACCUUUAACAUUCAGCCCUUGGCGUUUAAGGAGUGCUAUAGAAAGAAAAUAAUAAGAUCACAUUAUAAACUCUACAAAUUGCAUUUAUUAAUUAACAAAGACACUAAUGAAAAAAAUCUAACCAGCGACUUUGCCUCUGCCCUCCUCGGAUACAGCCACAUCAGUUGUUUGUGGCCACUUAGCAAAUUUUGAUUUAAAUACUACAGUCUCAUAUCCUUCUAUUAUGCGAGUAACAUGAGAUUUUGGAUGACCAGGGUCUUGUAGUAAUUCCUGUAUAGGAUAACAACCAAUAUUAGUGUCACAUCACUGUCAAAGAUCAAUCAAGAAGUAACAGGUUUACCUCUGCUGCAGCACUAGCACUUUUUCUCUCCUCCAAUGACGUAUUUCUACCCAUCCAUACAUAAAUUUCAGCCCGACAAUCUAGCAGGAAACACUUGUUUGUGUCUAGCAACUCUCUUGUCAAAGAUUCAGCAUUAACAGGCACUGCUUGUCCUUUAUUAACGCUGAAAGGCAAAAUGGCUUUUAUCAGAAAUUACAAAUACAUAGGAUUUUUUUCCACAUAAGAUUUUGGUGAACAGAAACAUGAUUUACAUAAUUACAGUAAAUUACCAGAGCAAUUUUGUAGAAAAGGACUCAUCUUUUCCAUUUUCCUCAGAGGUUGCCUUUCUCGGAAGAGGAGCGAAGCCACCAAAGAAACCCCAAAACUCACCAGCCUCAGCAUCAGCCAUUAACUUUCCAUCCUCUAUUGGAAACACUUUCACAUGAUCAAUUCCGAAAACUUUAAAAUGAAAAAAUUGAUAAAGGUCCUUGGACUAAGUCUACUUACCAACAGCUGCCACCUCACACUUCCCUUCAUGGUAAGUGUCUUUAAUGUAUUGCACCACUUCAAGAGCUUUAGCCCUCUCCUGAAUAGAAGAAUUGGAGCCAUUGAACUGGAAAAUCUUCGACUUUGUGUCCAGUAUGAAUAUAUCAUCAUGAUUUAGGGAUGAUCUGGCAAAAGGAACCUGAUAAAACAGAAAGAUCAACUCAGGAAAUUUGAAGAAAUAUUUAUAGCUAUACAGUGAGACUGUUUGUUUCAGGGACAACAAGAGGAUAACCCCAGUUAUUGCCGUUAUUCUGCCAAACACAGCAAAAUGUGACUGUUUUGACGGAAUAUUUUGUAACCUAAUGGAAUAAUCUGUUGCUUGGCGAAUGUUCCAUAAUUAUUUGUGAUGGAAACUGUUAAGUUCUAACAGGACUAACAGAAUUGUCUGAGAUCUAAAGGGAUGCAAGGUUUCACUACAGUACAGGUAACUUCUAUAUGCUUUAUCUUAUCCUACACUAGUCCCAUUAAUCAGCUAGAGUUAUCUGUAAUCACUACAAUCGUACCUGCAAUUACUACAAGUAUCCAUCAAAUGUCAAACCAAACAUAAAAUUGAGUUUGUUCAAUUACCUAGAACUGCAGGAUAAUCAAUAUGUAAGAAAGUCCACGUCCAAUUUAUCAGUUAUCACCAACUAAACUGUCCCAUAAGGAGACAUCAUAUAAAAAAUAUACUUGCCUCUUUAACGUGGACAACAUGCUUGCCUCUGCAGACAAAUAAUCGCGUAACAUGCUCACGCUCAUUUAUUUCUGCAUGCUUGAAACCAGACACCACCCCGCCUUGUUGUGGUAUAAUGCAUGGUUUGAAAUAAGAAAGGAACUUCUCGGUUUCGUUGCCCUGUACUUCACGAUAUUGAACAGCACGGCCUCCGAGGGCUGCAUCGAGUUCUACAGUUUUAAGUGCAGCAGCCCCUGCUUCAUCCUAUAUAAAUCAAAUUUAGGAGUAAUUAGUAGUGUAUGAGCACUCUUUAUUAUAAGAUUGUCAUGCAGAAAUUUCAUGAAGGUUUUAAUAGCUUACCUGGCUGGUAUCCUUACCAAGCCAAUAGUGUAUAUCGUGCUUGAACGAACCAUUUUUUAGAGCAGUUGUCUGUUCCCAAAAAAAAAAAGAAAAAGAAAAAAAAGUAUGAAGACAUACAGGCAUAUACGUCACGAUAUUCUUCAGUGUAAAUUGUUAAAUAUCCAGCUUUAAAUUAGAUAAAGAACGCCAAUCACCUCAAUCUAUUCUUUUCAAAGUCAUUAAAGCAACACUACAAGAAUAAUUCCAUAACUGACAUGUAUGUCUGACGUUUAAUUUUGUUAAUUACCUUCAAAAUUAUAUACGAGUCUCCAGUGAAGAAUUUUCCAUAAGAAGACUUUGGCACGGGGACUGGACGGAAAUUUUCAAUACGCCAUAUCUCCAACCCACUGACUGAUGUUAAGAAUUAUAAUUAGUGCAACGCAGGGAGGAGCCGAUGAGCAUCAUAGAAACAUCAGAAAUCAGUUAUAAGAGUAGUAGAAAGGUCAAAACAAGCACUGGAUAAUUCCGACCAUAAAAAUGAGUUCCUGUGAAUCUUUCAUGCUGGUCUAAGUAAAACGGCUAGCCAAAAUAUUUCGAACUAAAUAUUUCAUAUUUCCUAAAAAAUAGUUUCAAGGUAGUAAGAAAGAUCUAACAAGUUCACAAUGGAAAAAAGAAAAAAUCAAGCUGGUUAUAGGAAAAUAGCAAUAAAAGGAUACGCCUUUUGUCCAGCCCCCUGGAACGCAGAGUCCAAAUCCCUCAUAGAAACAGCCAUGCCCUUGGACCUUGCAGUAGAACUCUUGGGCGAUUUUUGCUUCAAAAGCGAAGAAAAAGUAUGCUGCAGGAAGAUAUUCAUGGAUAAAUCAAUAACGGCCAAAGCAACCAUCAGCAGAUACGCUACAACGAUCAGUCCAAUUAAAAGAAUUUGAAAAGCUUAUUUUGCCAUGCCGACAACUUUUUGAUGUAUUUUCAUCAGAAAAGCCAGGCAAGGGAAUGCUCAAAAUAUAAUCCUCCAAUGCACACUCGGCGGCAAAAUUGCGACUAGUACAGGAAUUCUGAAUUCUAUAAACUCUCCUUUUAAUCGAAAAGGAUUAAAAUUCUGAUAAAACUAGUAACUAAAUGAAUCACAAGAGCGUUUCCCACACUCUGCCAAUCAACCUUUUCUCCAUGAAAUAAAAAACAUAACUAUUUUACCGAUCCCGAAACGAUUCACAAAUCACUCGAUCCUACUGCAUAUAAAAAGACAUUUAACAUUAGAGAUGCUUCCUUUGGAUCAAAAUCAACAUCCCGCUGCACAAAGAUGACACAUUUACGCAACCACCAGCUUAGUUUAUGGGCAAAUGGAGUCAAAUUCCCAUCUCAAACAGCUCAAAACACUUGCAUGAGCCGAUCAAAUCGAUUCCAUUCGCAUCAAACCUCAAAACGAAUCGAAUUCCCAACUCCCCCAGUCCCAAAGCAACUUCUCCGAUCACUAAACGAGAUUAAGAAACCACAAUCGAUUCCGCUCCCAUACCUUAACAACAGUUCCCGGGCUCCCCAUCUCGACUCCCACCACUAGAUCGGUCCCCCUCCACCAAUCUCGAGCUCAGCGACGACCAAGCAUAUAACUAAACCCACCCAGAUUCUCACCAUUUCAAACAAAAUAAACAAAUCCACGCCCACGACGACCGAAGCACCAUUAAACAAUUCGCAAAAGAAAAAUUGCGGGGAAAAAUUUAAAAAAAAAAAAACGGAGUUGCCCUCACCUCCGCGGGUCGGUGACGAAGAGUUGGUGACGACGAAUUCGUUCGAGGGUACCAAAAAAAACAAAAAAAAAACCCUAGAUAACACUUGUCGCGAUCGAUCUCGAACACGAGCGAGAGAGAAAGAGAGAGAGAGAGAGAGAGAGGAAAAGGUCGGGGCGGGGAAAAAGGCCUCAGUAGAAAAAAAAGAAUCAAAAAAUAAAAAAUAAAAAAUAAAGUGAGGGGCGAAUGAUGUGAGUGAGGCGUGCUUGGCACUAACGGGAACGGGAAAAGAAGGUGAUGACCCCGUAAUGGCCUAAAAAAAUUAAAUUAAAUUAGUUUUAAGCACUUUGAAAUUAAAAAAAAACUAUUUAAUUUUAAAUCUGAACUUAAUUUGGCUUUUAUUUUUUAAAAAUUUACGUGGAAUUUAAUUUAAAUUACUAUGUUUUUAACCCCAAAAAAAGAAAAAAGUUGAUAAUUUGGUGAGUGAGUGGGGCGGGGAGAGUCGGCCACCGUCCACGGUGACGAUAAAAAGCGCGAAAAGGUAGGUCGGAGAGGGAAGGGAUUCAGUGUUUCGUCCUUCUGCGCUGUAAGAUUGACACGUGUCCAUAGUACACGCAAAUUUCGACUCCAGUGACGUGGCGAACGGAGAAGCGAGGAGGAUUCGUGUUCGCUGUUCGCAACGCUUAGACGCUUCGCUGUCGCGGGGGCCGCUGGAUCGCCGAAAGGUGCCAGCUCAGAAUCAGUUGCCGUCGCAGAAACCGAGAACGUGUAUAUGCGCGACACGUGUUUGACUGCGUACGUGUCGUGAAAUCAUUGGAUGGUUUGGGUGUUUGGUGGUUGGCGUUGUACGUUGCGAUGGGUACGUGACCCAGCUGGAAAGAUGAAACGGGUAGGUGUGGCGGGAACAGGUUGGAAAUUCCCUGCACGUAAAAAAUAUAUAUAAAUUAAAAUUAAAAUUAAAAUUUUAUUAAUUAAUUUUAAUUAAUGCUAAGUUAAUGGGUAUUAUUAUUAAGGGGGGAGAGGAUUAUCCUGGGAAUCUGGAGAAUCCGUGUUGAAUAUCAAACACGAAACAGCAUUAUGCGAUGACGUGUGAGGCUGUGAUUGGUUGGAUGGUGGGCCCGCGCGAGUCUUAACGGAGUUUGGUGGUGGGCACCCCGUAAGCGAUGCGAUUCGACAAAGGCGAGUGAACACGUGCCACGUGGCCGGGAAUGGUUUUGAGGUGGCGAGAAAUGGUAGAAACACAGGGGGACCCAAAUAGUGACUCGCCAAUGGACCAAAGUGGGACCCACUCAUUACUAUUGGGUAAGAGCCGUGGGGCCCGUUCGGUGUUUGACUUCCGGUCCGUUUUACUUGUGGAGAUCAAUUUGAAGGUACGGUGAAGCCACAAUCGCGGGUACUCUCUGUUCCCGGUGCACGACGAGCGACGCGCAUCAAAAUUCGCGCCGCUAAAUCCCCGCGCUCAUUGGCCCACGUGUCAUACAGAUUGUGUAUGACACAGAAGAACAGUAACAAAGGUCAAAUAUAUGGUCUUAUAAUUUUUAAAAUUUUAUUUGUAUACUUUUGUACAAUAUUUCUCAUUUAAAAAAUAUUUAAUGUUUAUGCUUUUCCUAAUAACUGAUGAGUACAAAUAUAAUUGAUUCUUCUUUUGUACGUAGAAAAAUAACAUCUAUAUCUAUAUCUUAUCUUAUCUAUACAUUAAUAUUCAUCAAUAAGUUCUAUAUGUACCCAUCCAUUUAAUUUGAGAAGAAGUGGGGCUUUUUUUUAUUAUUCUUUUUUCUUUUCUUUAGAUUCACUAAAGCCUAAAGAGUUUUUUUAUCCUUUCUUAUACCUUUUGGUCUUCCACCAUUUUUCUUAAAUUUGCAAAUUUGAAUCUUUGUUGUGUUUCAUAUUCGAAGUUAAUUAAUUGAUUAAAAGUGAUAUAUAUAUAUAUAAUAUUUGUAAAUUAUCUUGCAUAUUAUUGUGAGUUUUUUUUUUAGUCAUAUCAAUUACAAUAUAAUAUUUUAUUUGAUUAUUGUGUUAUAAAAAUAAUUUUAAUCAUCCAUUUGUAUGAUAUGUAAUCUUUUUUAAACAAGAUUGAAUAAUUUUGUUAGAUGAUUGAUUCUUUUUCAUUAUAGUUUUAUUUUUUUUCAAAAUGUUUGUCUGUAGUAUAAACUAUAUUUACUAUUUUUUAUACUAAACAGAUAUUUUUUUUUAUUAAUUUUUACUUUGAUAUUAUCUAUCCGUUGUAACGCGCGGGUCACUACACUAGUAUAUAUUAAAUAUGAUCAAACUUAGUUACUAAAUAAUAAUUAAAUUAUACGAAUUUGUGUGGUAAUAUUAUCAACUCUGUUAAUAAUAAAACCAUCCUUAAAAAUAACCUUCACUUUUAAAGUAAUGUAAAAAAGAAGAAAUUAAUCACAUCAUCAAAACGACCAUUAUUCAUUGUAUCAUAAAGAAAUUACUAAUAAUUAUAACCUUUUUUACAUGCAUAUAAUUUUAGGUACUGUAAAUUACACUCCAUAAAACAAAAAUUUUACUUUUAAUGAGACAAAAUGGUCCUGGAAAUAGUAUCUCCAAGGAGUGGGGAUCCACAAACUAAUCCCUUCUCUUCACAGAAAAAUUUUGGGGUUUUCUAGUGUUCUCACAUGUUUUUUAUUUUUUUAUUGAAAAUAAAACUCAGAUAUUUUAAACUGAUCCUUUUUCUUUACAUUUUGGCCUUCUACCUUUUUCAUUAAAUUAGCAAAUUCGAAUCUUUGUUAUGUUUCAUAUUCGGAGUCAAAUAAUUGAUUCAAAGUGAUAUAUAUAUAUAUAUAUAUAUAUAUAUANCAUAUCAACUGCAAUAUGACAUUUUAUUUGAUUAUUAUAUUAUAAAAAUAAUUUUAAUCAUCUAUUUACAUGAUAUGCGAUUUUUUUUUAACAAUAUUGAAUAAUUUUAUUGGAACGAUUGAUUCUUUUUCAUCACAGUUUUUUUUUUUUAAGUGUUUGUUUAUAAUAUAGACUAUAUUUACUAUAUUUACUAUAUUUUGUACUAAGCUUAUAUUUUAUUCUUUACAAAUUUUUACUUUAACAGUAUCUGCCAACCGUAACGCGCGAGUCACUAUACUAGUAUUCACAUGAAUUGAAUAAUAAAUUAGAAAAAAAUGUAAUAAUUAGAAUUAGACUAUAUAUUUAUACACACACAUGUGUUUAGAAUAAGAUUUUGUGCGGAUUACAAUGCAUAAGCUACACAAUAUGUGUACUUAUCUAGACAAAUUCUAGCCAACAUUAUUAGCACAAAUGGCCACCAAGUAUGCUAAUUAAUAAUUAGAAAAAAAAACACAUUUUUUUUUCUUUUCAUAAAACAUAGAAUUAUUUUAUUUUUUUGGUAAAAGCACGUUACAAGAGAAAAAAUAUAAGGACGAAAAAAAAGAAUACACGAAAAAUUAAUUCUUCUGAAAAAACAAAAAAUAUCAUCAAUUAAUUCUAAAAAAACUUAUUACAUUAAUAGAAUAGCAUGUCUAUACAUAGGGCCGAUAUUUGAAUCAUACUAUAAACGAAGAUAAUAAAUUCUUAUAUAUCUCUAAACCUAUUCCAAUAAAAUAUAACCAAAUUAUUGAACUCAAAUAGAAAAAAAUACAAAAGUUUUCGAAAAUAAACUAAAAAUAUAAAAUCGGAGGCCGGAAUAAUUGAAUUUAAGUCUCAAACUCGGCCUAAACAGUUUCGCAGUUCAACGUGUUGAUUUUUUAAAAAAUAUUUUUUUAGUCGGGAUAAUCGCAUACUAAAAUCGUACACAUGAACGAAAAGUUAAGAUUAUUUAAAAAAAAUUUAUAUUAAUUGUAAAAAUUAUCAAACUCAAUAAACUUUCAGGCUCAGUUUGGUUGAGUCUCAAACCAGAUUUACGGUGCAAUAUAAAGAGAAAAAGGCUUUCUCCCACGCAUAAAGAAUUUUGUUGUUAGCUAUAUACUUUGGGCAGAAAAUGGGAGCAAAUAAAAAUAAAAAUAAAAAUAUUUCCUUCGCAUGAGUUAUGUUUGAAUUUACUUAUAUAUAUGGUAUUAAAUAUUUUGUUUUGUUCUCAAAAGUUAAUUUGAUUAUAACUGUUCUCUGCAUCUUUUACAAUAAAUAAAUUUCUUUUUAACUAAAAAUAUAGAGAAUUAAGUUUUUUUUUCUGUUUUUAUAUUAAUUAUUUUGUAUGAAAUCAUAGAAUUUAAGAUAGGAUCAACACUUUGUGUGUGUGUGUGUGUGUGUGUGUGUGUGUGUGUAAUUUUUUGUAUUAUGCAGAGUUGUUGUGGACACGACUUUAAUAAUAAGUGGAGGAGGGAGCGGUUAGUUUAUGGAUCGAUGAUUUUAUUAGAUGAGAGGUCUAAAAAGAAAAUAAAAAUUCGAAUGCGAAAGGACAUGGCAUCCUCAAUUUGUCAAAUAUAAAAACCUACCAGGUUGACCGACCGUUUCUAGCGCAGAUGACAAAUGGCUCAGAGUGUAUUUGUUUCAUCGAAAGUUAAGAGGAAAAUGAAAUAAUUUUUUAUUGUAAAUGUUUAUUUUCGUUGUUUAGCUUAUCAUAACUUUAACUUUUAAUAGAAAGAUGGUAUUCAUUAAAAUAUUCCGGCUUAACUCUCUCUCUCUCUCUCUGCAUAUAUAUACAUAUAUGAAUUGAGCUCUUGUGCUUUUAAAAUACUAAGUCAUUGGUAGUUGUAAGUUUUCGACCCUUGGAUUAAGAAAUGAACGGCUUGGAUGAUAAUGGUCUUUAAGGGUUGAGUGGGUGGUUAGUUAAAUAGUAUGAUCUAAUAAGUGAAAAUGGUCAAAAAUGUAGAUCCAACGGUGAAAAACUUACAAGCACCAAGUGGUUUAGAUCAUGCUCAAUAGUGCCGAUCGUCGAUUUAGAGGCUCGAUCAUCGAAAACAAAUAGUGACAACAGAGUCAAUUUGCUAACGAUAGUAUUCAAGUUCAACUAUAUAUAUAUAUAUAUAUAGAGAGAGAGAGAGAGAGAGAGAGAGAGAGAGAGAGAGAGAGAGAGAGAGAGAGAGAGAGAGAGAGAGAAGGCUACUAUUAGUAGUAAACGACUCAGUUUACUACCAAUUUAUUUUCGAUGAUAGACCUUCCAAAUCGACGAUUGGUAUAGUUGAAUAUGAUUUUAAAUCAUUUAAGCUAUCUGUAAAUCAAAUUUUAUAUUUUUUUUAUAUCACUAAUUGAACAAUCAAUCAAGUUUAAUGAUACAGAAGAAUCCAAAUCAAUAAAGUUUUAUUAGAAAAUUCUUUACACUAUUUAAAAUAAAAUUUAGAUUAUAGAUUUAAAUACAAAAUCGUAUCACCACUUUUUAUAGGAUAUUUAUUUUCAAUUAUUUAUUUUUCAUUCACUUGAUGGACAAGAGAAUAAUAUAAAAAAAAAAUGUGAAAUUUGAUUUUUAGAUAAUUUAAAUAGUUUAAAUCAUGUUUAAUAGUAACCAUCGUCGAUUUGUAAGUUUUAUCAUCGAAAACACAUCAGUAGCAAACAAAGCAAUUUACUAUCGAUAGUAUUCUAGUAAAACUCUUUCUCUUUCUCUCUCUCUUUAUAUAUAUAUAUAUAUAUUCAAUCGUGAAAUUCAAUUAUAUAUUUUAUGAAUUUGAAUUUUGAAGUAUGAAACAGUAAUCAAGCUUAGCGUGACAACAUUCGAGAUUAGUGUGAUCAAAUCUAAUUUUAAUUAUUCACGUCCUCGUAAAUCCUACAAUAAAAAUAUAAUUAUUAAUUUAGAUAUACCGUAGCUCGAGUGAAUAUUAAUUUUUCCCAAAAAAACACAUUUGCCUAAUACGUAACAAUAUUAAAAUAUAUUUUAGAUAUUCAUAUAGAAUACUUUUAGUGGGAUUCUUAAUUCUUCCUAAACAUGUCGACGCUAAUAAAUAUGAUCUACAAUGUAUAAAUUUUAAAAAUUAAAUUUUAAAAUUUUUAAUAUUAUAUAUCUGGUAAUAUAAUAAUAUACGUGCACUAUCGAAAUUCAUUAAUUUUAAUAUUAAUUAAAUAGUAAAUAAAAAUAGUAAAAAAUUAAAAAAUUUAGUUUUCAGAAAAAUUUAUAACUGUAAAAGAAAAUUUCAGCCAGGUCCUGCUAAUUUAAUUUUUGAAGGGCUGGAGAAUAUGAAUAGGAAGUUAACAAGGGACAAAACUGUAAAAGUAGAUUUCUUUAAAGGUGAGGGGUAAAACUGUAAAAGAGGUUUUUACCGUCCCCUUUUCACACUCACCACCUCCUCCUCCUCCUCCCUCUUCGUCGUCGUCGUCGUCGUCGUCGUGCUCCUCCAAGCUCCUCCCAUGGCGCCUCUCCUCUCCCUCCCCCUCCUCCUCUCCCGCCACAGCCAUUCCCGUGCUCUCCUCCUCCUCCUCCUCGCUUCGCUCCCCUUCCUCGCCCUCUCCCUCUUCCUCCUCCUCCUCUCCCCGCUCCUCGCCCGAUCCAUCCUCCCCCACCCCUUCUUCUCCCUCUCCCUCCCCCCUCCUCCUCUUCCUCAUCCGCCUACGCCACCGCCUCCGGCGCCGUCGCCCCGUCCGGUGUCGGAGGCGGCGGCGCCGGAGGCGGAGGAGGAGGAGGAGGAGCUGCAACGGUGCGAUCUGUACGAGGGGGGGUGGGCGAGGGACGCGACGCGCCCGAUCUACGAGCCCGGCGCGUGCCCGUACGUGGACGAGGCCUUCGCGUGCCGCGAGAACGGGAGGAGCGAUCGCGGGUACCUGCAUUGGCGGUGGGAGCCCCGCGGUUGUCGCCUCCCGAGGUAGUCGAUGCAUCGAACCCUAACGCGUUCCCCUUUCGCGAUCUUUCGUUUGUUUGGAUUUCCUCAAACUAAUAGAAAAAGGUGAAUUUGGUGGGGGCUAGGGAUCGGUGAUACGAGGAUCUAAUAACUGUUUCUAAGGUGGUAGUUUUUGGUGUUUGGAUUGUUUUGGAAAGGUUGAUUAAAUUUAAAAAGGGGGGUAGAGAAUCUAGGACUAGGUUUCCCAAGGUUGAAACUUUGGGAAGUAAACAAAGAGUAUUUUGGACAUUAGUGCUUAAAUAAAUAAAGGAUUGGUGACAAACUACUAAGAAGAUAUGCAGGUUAGAGUAAUAAAAUGGAUCAUAACUUAAUAUUAUAUUUAACUAUUCUUGGCUUUAUUAUGCUUUACUUUGGAAGUUUAAGCCAAUGAAUCAUAUGUGCUACAAAGUCAUUGUUUUGCUCCAAAGGCUGUUACCUUUUGCACAUAAGCAUUUAAUAUGUUACCAAUGUCCCUUUUUGAAAAUUAUGAUAUUCUAUAUUCUCGAACUCUUCGAAAUUUCGGCAUUUCGUUAUACUGUAUUAAGUGUUUUAUUUAUUUAUUUUUGAGAGAAAUGUAUUGUAUUAAGUAUAUUUCUCACUUUCCCGCAUACCUGCUACAUACCGUUAUGGUAGUUGAUUCAGUUGCUAUGUCGUUCCAAAGCUAUAACUUGUUCUACAAUAACAUUCAACAUGUUACCAAUGUUCCUUUUUGGAAAUUAUGAUAUUUUAUUAGUCUUCUCGAACUCUUCAAAAUUUAGGCAUUUUGUUAUACUGUAUUAAGUGUUUUAUUUAUCUAUUUUUGAGAGAAAUGUAAUGUAUUAAGCGUAUUUCUCAUUUUCCCGCAUACCUGCUACAUACCAUUAUGGUAGUUGAUUCAGUUGCUAUGUAGUUCCAAAGCUAUAGCUUGUUCUACACUAACAUUCAACAUGUUACCAAUGUCCCUUUUUGAAAAGUAUGAUAUCUUAUUAUUCUUCUCGAACUCUUCAAAAUCUAGGCAUUUCGUUAUACUGUAUUACGUGUUUUAUUUAUCUAUUUUUGAGAGAAAUGUAAUGUAUUAAGUGUAUUUCUCAUUUUCCUGUAUACCUGCUACAUACUAUUAUGGUAGUUGAUUCAGUUGCUAUGUUGUUCCAAAGCUAUAACCUGUUCUACACUAACAUUUGAUAUGUUACCAUGGUUCCAUUUUGAAAAUUAACAUAUUCUAUUAUUCUCAAACUCUUCGAAAUUUAGGCAUUUCGUUAUACUGUUUUAUGUGUUUUUUUUUUUGAGAGAGAAAUGUACUGUAUUAAGUGUAUUUCUUAUUUUCCUUCAUACCGACUUCAUACUAUUAUGGUUUCUAUAUUAAAAAUUCUUUUCAACAUUUGUAAAAUAUAGCAUCCGUGUGCUCCAUCAUUGUAGAAGCUACUGUGGUAAUCAUUAAAUGAGGAAUGGAUUAAGCCAUAUACCCUUCUCUGUCUGCUAAUAAAUGGCCCUUUGAUUUCUUCUUAUUACUGAUUUCGUUGUUAUUCACUCAUUCUUUUUAUGGAUGAGUAUCUUACUAUCUUUCUAUUUUACGUGAAUCCUUGAGGAAUUUAUAAUCCCAUGCUGCAACUCUGACAUUAUUCAUAGGUUCAAUGCGACAGAUUUUUUGGAGCGACUGAGAGGUAAAAGACUGAUGCUUAUCGGAGAUUCAAUGAACAGGAACCAGUUCGAAUCAAUGCUGUGUAUCCUGCGUGAAGCGUUGCCCGACAAGACCAAAAUGUACGAGACCCGGGGGCAUAAAAUAACCAAAGGACGUGGCCAGUUUGUGUUCAAGUUUGUGGUGAGAUAAAAGAUUAACUUCCGUAUCUUCCUUUCUUUGUGAUGCUGUACUAAGAUCGUGAUCUAUUGAGCUUUUUUUCCUUGCUUUCAUUUUUUUGAGGAUAAAGUUCAAAUUCUAAGUCAUUUCAGCUGAUUCAGUUCGGUUUUAUUAGAAAAUCCGUUCCUUUUGGUUCAGCUUUGUGAAUUGCAAAUUGAGUUUACAGGGAAAAGAAAGAACAUAAUCAUCCAAAGCACAUCUCUAAUUGAAUAUAUUAUCGGUCGAGUGUAAUUGGCUUAGUUCCCUGAAUUUGGGCAGGAUUACGAUUGUACUGUAGAGUUUGUUCGCUCCCAUUUUCUCGUUCGAGAAGGGACACGGGUCAACCGACAGGGAAGCUCGAACCCGACUCUCUCGAUCGAUCGUAUCGACAAGUCUGCAAAUCGGUGGAAGGGUGCCGACAUUCUUGUCUUCAACACCGGCCAUUGGUGGACUCAUGGAAAGACGGCGAGGGGGUAAAUGUGAUUAUUUGCUUCCACCAUCUCUCUCUCUCUCUCUCUCUUUUUCCAUUUUUCUUUUCCGUUAAUUGUUUUGCUUCCUUAAAUAAAUAGUAUAUAAUAAAUUGAUAGAUGGAUUUGAACGGUUAGGAAGAAUUAUUAUCAAGAAGGUGGUGUACUGUAUCCUCGGUUUGAUGCAAUUGAGGCUUAUAGGAGAGCCAUAAGAACUUGGGGAAGGUGGGUGGACAAAAACAUGGAUCCCAGGAAGCAUUUGGUGUUUUAUCGCGGAUAUUCGACCGCACAUUUCAGGUACUAACACCAUUUAUAACUAACAUGGUGAAUCAUCGCUACAUAUUUUCAAAAUAAUUCACUACUAAUUCGCGACCUUUCUUAGAGUUGGGUGGUGAAUAGUUCAAAAUAUGUAAAUGCUCAUGCAAGCUUUCAAAGAAUCUGAGACCUCUAUGAGUUUAAAUGUAUAUUGUAAUAGGAAAAUGUUACAAACUUCCUCUUUUAAGUUUUUUUUUUUUUUCAAAAUUGUGUUUCGGAGCUUCAUGAUUCUCAAACUCUUUGAUCAGGGGCGGAGAUUGGGAUUCCGGCGGGACGUGCAACGGUGAGACCGAGCCAAUUCUCACCGGCGGACCGCUGGUCGACAGUUAUCCUCUGAAAAUGAGGAUAGUGGAGGAAGUAAUUGGCAAAAUGCGCUUCCCGGUUAUUCUACUGAAUGUAACGAAGCUGACCAACUUCCGCAAAGACGGCCAUCCUUCCGUCUAUGGAAAGAACGCGACGCGGGGCCAGAAGGUCUCGAGAAGGAAGCAGGAUUGUAGUCAUUGGUGUCUCCCCGGGGUUCCGGAUUCAUGGAACGAGUUGAUCUACGCCACUCUUGUUUUACAGCCCAAACCCAUUCCGCAGAAACAGAGGUGAAGUAGAUUUGAUUGGCCUGGUUUGACUUGUAGUAAGCAUUGAGAACAAGUCGAAAGAAGGGUUUUUUUUUGGGGGGGAUUUCAUGAUACGUGGGAUGCUGCUUUUAAUUUUUCACGAGUAUUAUGUAAUGUUAUCUAAUAUAAUUCAUGUUGACGUAUUCUUUUGUAACAUCAAUAUCUCUAUCUAUUAUGUUUUGUUGCCUGUGAUGAUGCCAGGAAUUUUAUGUUGGACCGUGAAUGUUAAACAGAAUUCAUGAAGAGCACCUCGUUAAGUGAUAGAGAUGUCGUAACCAGUCGGAGUCUCCAUGAAACUCGAAAGAUCAGUUCCCAUCUCAAAGCUCAGGUCUGAAUCUCAAAGCGAUGUCAGGUGGCGGAUCUAGGUAACCCCAAAACGAAACACUCCAUCAAUCUUUUUAAUUGUUUUCUUCCCUGGACGGGAGACUUGUUCUGAGUCCUGACACUACAGAUGAGAUGAACCUCGGCUAUGUGCAGAUUUCAUGCUAAACAUUUUCAGGAUGUGCAGAUUUCAUGUUAAGCAUCUCCAGGAUGUGCAGGUAUGAUAUUCAGAAAGUUCGCCGACCUCUAGUUUAGACUCCUAACGAUGGCCUAGGACUUUCUGUAAGAGUCAUCAAGAAGCAGCAGGUUGGUGUGACUUUCUGUAAGAGUCAUCAAGAAGCAGCAGGUUGUUGUGCGCCAUCGUCAUCUGGUAAAUCAAUGGAGCUCUUGAAGAAGAGCAGCGUAGAUAACGCUCUCUAUUUUAGUUUCUACUACCUAUCCCCCACCAGUGGUGUUAAUGCUGAAACCUGGCCUACUAUGGACUCUCUUUCAAAAAAUAAAGAAAAAGUUAUUAGAGCGACCACAUCUGAUCGAAUUGCAGUUGAGUUCAAUAGCAUUUCUAAUUAAAUCAACUUCAAUCAGAAAAAGGUGGAACAAAAUGAAGUUGAGGGGGCCCAUUUCAAAAUGGCCUCUAGUUGAAGGAUUCUCCGUAUAUUUUCAUCAUUUCUUUCAAUAGGUGCCAAAUUUUCCCCAAAAGACCACUCUAUAACCGGCUCUUCAUUCAUUCAUUAAAUGGCGUUAGUGAAAAAAACAAAUGAUUACGGUAAAAAGGAGGAAACCCAAACAAACAAACAAACAAAAAACGAAAAACCAAUCUUACUGAAUAUUUGAUGAAUCUUGCAAUUCUUGUUGCUUCUCCAAAUAGUGGAGAAACCUCGACAGACAAAGCCAAAAUUUUUCCAGUACCUUACUCCGGGAAUGGAUUGCGAAUGCGGUAAAAACAUCGAAAAGAAAUUUAUGUACCUCGCGCCUCAGCAACAUCCGUAUUAGCAUCGCAGUCCACACUUCUGGAGCUGACCUAACGGCUUGCCGUAUAGAGUGGAAACCAUUCACUAGUCUGGUUAUCACCGCACUCUGGGCACAGCAAAGAAUUUGAACAAGAAAUAAUAAAAAAUAAAAGUUACGAGUUUCAUCACAGAAAAUAUACAGAGGAGCAUUUCUUUUUGAAGUACAAGGAUGUAAGGAUAAUUUAAAGAACAUAUAAAGAAUUCAAAAUUAGCGAGGAUAUAAAUGUAAACAUCUCAAAUAAAGAUUUGAACUUAUUUGGAUUAUAUUCAACUACUGUUGCAUUUAAUCUUCCAAUUUGAUUAAUACCAGUCCAACGGAUAAUCCAUGCUAACAAUACCAUCCAUUAACUACUAGAGAAAUAUAAGUUAUUAAAAAGGUAAAAACAUAUAAAACUUACGUGAACUAUGAAUCAUUUUGAUUGGCUACUCAUUUGAUUUUACUAUCUAACAUUUUAAUUUGUUUGAACUGAGUACGUCAACAGCAUUUUGCCUUCAAAGUUUAAAUGCGUUAUUUAUCUUUACAGGUUUACUUAGUAUAUUUCAUGCAAUUCUCGCAACUAUAAAUUCAUUAAAGUAAUAGCUUAAAUUUUCAAGUCCAAGUAUAGUUGAAUAACUCAAAUCAAACAAAUUCAAAUAUUGGAUAGUGAAAUUAAAAAUUUGAAAAGUUGGAUAGCCAAUUCAAAAUGGCUCACAAUUCAGAUAAGUUUUUGUACCAUUUUACCUAUUAAUAACUUACACAAUUUACUAAGUUCACCCGUUAGACAACUUUGAAAUUCUAAGCAACUAAAACAAAAGAAAAAGGUUUAAGCAUACCUCAGGAUCAGGUGUCUCCAUAGUUUCUUGUGCCUCGAAUAUGCAUGGAAAGGCUUCUUCUUGGAAAGCAUCUGAAGCCUUCAGGAUGUCCUGAAUGAGAAAAACCCGGACCCUCCAGCCUUUAUCUGAGAAAAUGAAACAAAGAAGAUCCUCUGUGGCAGCAACAACUGAACGCAUGUCGAAGGAUUUCCAUCCGGGUGCCUCACUAGACUUCACCCCGGGAUCGCUAGCAGUUUCAUUCGUUGAUUCUGAGGACUCCUCAGAAAUAGCUGCGAUCUGAAAGGAUUGAAGAGCACCAGAACCAAAAAUAACUUAAGCAUGCAGUAUAUAAAAGUAAAUGAUGGGAUGCUAGAAUUGUGGGUUGUAGUGGCGAAAAAUUUAGGAGCCAUAUUAUUUUUGGGCUGUUACAUAUACAGUCUUGCACAAUCACGGACAUAUGUAUGUGUACGUGUAAAAUAAAAAUUUUGCAUAUACAGUUAUAUAUGUACAUACAGUUCCUUUCGCCCCAAACCAAAAAAGAUACCCUAUUCUAAGCUGACAAGUUACCAAGUUCAUGGGGGGAAGUGGCUUUCAAUUAUUAUUAUUAUUAUUUCAAAAAGCAGGGGCAUCAGAAUUAAUAAUAAAAAAAGAGGAUGAAAUGUAAGGGUCCAACAAAAUUGAAAGUUACACACCAGUCUCUCAAGGCGAUUCCAUCGGAUGGAACCAUCAUUACGAAUAAGGAGCUCACGCAGUAUUUUCCUCAUAUCAGGGUUAGGGUCCGCAAGAAGCCUCCCAAUGACAAAAGGAUAUGCACUCUCGAUGACCUUGAAAUCAGGAUCCAAUGCUUUAGCAGUUCCUUCUAAGGAUCCCAGUGCUCUUAUCACCAGUGCAUAAUCAGGAGGCAGGGAGAAGUUAAAUUCAUACAUAACAUCGUAAAACUGCCUCAUUACGCCCUGCAUUAAAACGCAGCAAGUCUUUAUAGGUAUAAUAGGAACUUGUAUUAGUUUUAAAUAUUAUAUAAUUGCAAAGAAAAACUGCUUAUUAGCAUAUAGGAUCAAUCAACUGUCGCACACACCUGACAAACAUUCAUUAUCCAUAGUCCAAGUUGCAAAAAAGUAUAAUUAGGGUACUACAGUAAGUUGCUCAAGUUAAUCCCAGAAGGCUGCCAACUUAGCUACCUUUUCCUUUUCAAUUUGUUUCUAAUUUAUUGAAAGUAAUAGGAUUUUGUCUUUUAAGCAAUUUACACCUAUUAAGAAGGUUACAAUUAUCCUUCUAUAAUGAUUGAGUUCAGUAACUAGAAAAGCCGUACAAAAUGACAAAAAUAACUACUUUUACUUAUUCCUAGAUUGACUUUCUGAAUAUAUCAACAUUAGACUCGAACCAGAACCUUUUAUAGAGAAACAAAAUGAAUCAGAAUUUGAGCUCUGCUUAAGCCAACUAAACAGAUGCUACAGUACUACCGAAUUGGCUAGUCUUACUAAAAUAAACUUCAUGUUAUUUCCAUAUUGGAAUAGUACCAUACUCAACAUUGAUAUAAUGAUCAAUCAGCAAAAGGUAUAUAUUAUACGAAUAAACUAAAUAAUAAGCAAACCUGAAAGUCAUUUGAUUGUCUGCUCCGAGCAGAAAAGGAUGUGCUUAAGGCAUCUGCCACUGACUGUAAAUCUGUUCCGUCAGGAAUAAAUCCCAAAGAAUGGAAGUCGUUUGCUAAAGACAAUGAAUCACGAUUAACAUAGUGUACAAGCUGAAAUAAAUAUGACAGCAAGUUAGUUCACCAAGAAAUGACAGCCAACACAACCGUAUGAUCUAUGAAUAAAGUAGAAUCACAGUAGCUUUGCUACAUUUUUAAAUCUGAUAAUAUUUUCUACCAGAAAUGGAUCGUUAUUGAUUUGUGAUGAAUAUUGGAUUGGCUCAGACAUUUUUUAUUUACUAAUUAAAUAAUUUUAGGUCUACAAAUUUCUAUUUAUGACUUGCUAGUUCAUUCAUAAACAACUUCAACAACUAUCACAGCAUACUGUCCUUUUCUAAACAAUUUUGUUCAUAAUUCAGAUCCAGAUAGUUUACUAACCAUCUCUUUUGACUACACUAAUAAUCAAGUCUUUCCAACCUUGGCUUCUUUAAAUGCUUACUAUGACAAGAGGUUUGAACUAGACCUGUUUUGGUGGCAAAUGGAACAUAACUAAUGAAAACACAAGUGAAUAGCAACCUCAUUUUGUUCCUUCCAGAUAUGGAAAGUUAGUGCUCAAAGACUUUAAUUGUCCUCCCAAGAAGUUACAAUGCAACAGCUAGAAUUGAAACAUCUAAUCACAAUAAAGAUUUAUCACUUCAAACCCUGAAAGUUUUGGAGCAUAUUUAACAAUCAACAUAUUAAAAGGCAAUUUCAAAGGGACUUCAUUACAAAACUAAGUAACGUAUAUAAGAGCGUCUAUUUCAUUCUUCUGGGGCAAUAUGAUAUAAUUAAGCAACAAAGGAUCCACUCACCACUGUCAUAAAUACAAAAGAAGUUGCACAAAAAUACCACAAAAGAUAAGGAUCUUUUGGAGGACAUUUUCCAGAUUAUUGGACUACCAUAGCAACUUCCUCAAGACAGAAUCAUUAACACCAUGGAUAUCUUCAGACACGACAUAACAGCAUUGCUAUACACUAUAAAGAGCAGCAAGUUAUGGUGAAAAGAAAGCUGACCACUUGGAUAAGUCCAACACGAUAAUGCCGGGGAAUAUCUCCCAUCAUACCAAAGUCAAAGUAUGCAAGAGAUCCAUCAAGUGUAACAACAAGAUUUCCAGGAUGUGGGUCAGCAUGAAAGAACCCCUCUUCAAGAAGUUGCCUCAAUGAGCAAUAGAGUCCCUGAAAGAGUUUAAAGUACGCAAAACCUCAAAUAGGCUAAGGGACUCUCUUACAAAGUACAAAUUGUCCCAGAGACCCUAAUAUAUAGCUAGUAAGAAAGACGGAAGAUCAACAAAGAGAGCUGGAAUACAAUCCAUCAAAUCAAUAAAGGAAACAGAUAGAAAGAGUACGCGAAGAAAAAAGCUUAUCACUCCAGCACUCAACAUUAAAUCAAUACCAAUUUAUUUCACAAUAAAAGACAAUUAUUUCAACUCUUAAUGUAAUAAACAGGAUUAACUAUAAAAAUACCUCCAAGAUUGAUAAGUUUAUCAUGCUGCAACAUUCAUUAUAUGAAAGACAACAUAAUGAAAGAAAGCAUUCAGACAAGUCAAUUCUGCCUAGAAAGGAGCAACAACUCAAACAUACCUGGUCAAUUAACCGUUUCCGAUCUAAACGGACUUCAUUGAUACGAUCUGUGUCGGUUAAUUUAAUCCCAUCUAUCCAUUCCAUGGUAAGCACAGCUUUACGUGUGUACUUCCAAUAUAUCUUUGGGACUUUGACGGCCGUCCCUCUUCUAGACUUGCCCUCGGCGCCUAUUAAGAUAAACCUAAUAACAGUCAUCCAAAUGGCAUGUAAAAGACUAAUUCAAACUCUUGACUACAAAAAGGGGAGAUCCAAUAGACUGAAAAAGUAGGAAUUCUGUCAUAUUAAAAGUUAACCAUAUAAUAUUAAUAUAAAGAUGAAACUUAAGCUGCAUUAACAAAUAUGGCUCUAAAACAAAACCACCAGUAGCUGGACAAUGUCACAAAUAAACAAGCACAUAGUAUAAACCAUAGAAAAAAUUCAAACAUAACAAAAGUAAAGAAAACUUACUGGCAGAAUUAGAAUAGAGAGUAGCGAAUCUUUCUGCAUUUCGUCCUUCUAGAAUAUAGUCAAUCUCAUCAAACAUGUGUCUAACCUGCCAACAAUAUAGCUAUAAGAGCAAGGCACAAAAGCAGCAGGAAAAAUUAACCCGACAAGAACAAAGUACAAUUAUAGAAUAUAUAACAAUAAGAUGAUAGUAACCUUGACACCAUGGUGUUAAAAUAUUGAUUUCAAUGGUUGUGACUGUCUUAAGAUCAACAUCUCAACAACAAUCAUAUCAUGAAACAUGAAUAGAUUAUUGUGACCAGUAAUUGACUUCACAUGUGUUGGAGAUGGUAGACCAUAAACACAGUUGGGACACAAAUUCAUGAUAAAAAAACACACAGUAGCUGAAAGAGUGUUUCAUUCAUGCAAUAAUUGGGGUGUGAAAGGCCACUGGACAUUAUGGAUUCAUUUGGCUUUGAAAUCCAAGUUUAGCCAAAUAUGCUAAAAAAUGUUAUAAGUACCUUGAUAAUACGCAGCCCUAGUUUUUUUGAACCCUUUCAAUCGCUGAUUUAUUCAUUCAAAAUAUUCCCUUAUGAUGUGGUGUAUCUGUGUGGACGAUUUAAGAUUUAAGUUUAUAUCUAUAAACAGAAAUAUGGAACACGCAUAUACUAUACUUAUCCCCGUCCACAGUAGAAACACAAAUGCAUACGCACAAACACAAUCGGUAAAUCCUGCUAAUCUUCCAUUGGUAAGGAGAAGCAGAAAACUCUCCCCCCCCCCCAGUGUCUAACUCAAUUUUCAGCCUUAAGUAUAAUUGACGGACAUGGGCAUGGGUUAUAAGAGGCGAAAUUCUUUAUUGCCUAAUCUAAGCAAAAGAAUGAUGCAAUUUCAAAGAACAUUUCUUUAUACUUUUUUUUUACAAAAAACAGAUAGAUUUACGUAGAUGAUGCUAAAAAGAGAGAUUAGGAAAAGACAAAAAAUUAAGCAAUCUAGGGAAAUGAGAACAUCAAUGCAUAAUAAGAAGCGCACCAUCUCAUUGACGGCUCCCAACAAAUCUUUGCGAGCCUUAGCAAACCUUUUCAGCUGCCCUCCAAUCAUAUCAAACAAUAGUGCAUCGAGGGUCAGAGAGACUGUCAUACCAGGUCUCUGCACUUUCACAGCGACGAGCUCUCCAGUGUGUAGAUGAGCUGCAUGACUUGAAAUAUCAAAGCAAUGCAUUUUAACUUGGGAGAACUGAGUUCAAUAUAUUUAUAGUUAUAAAAAGAUGCAAAGGGUGAAAAAUAUAGCAAUUACUCAUAUCUUACCUUUGUAUACUUGCCCCAAGGAUGCUGCAGCAAUGGGCUCUCUGCUAAUAUCCACAAAUAAUUCAGAAAUUGGAGAGCCCAAUUGAGACUCAAUAGACUUGAUCGCAACACGGGUAGGAAAUGGCGGUAUUUGAUCCUAAGUGAAAUUUACUUGUUAGCGAACACAAAGAGACAAUCAUAAGUAAAAUAAGAACAUCACAUCAGUAUGAACAAUGAGUAGAUAAUCCAUAUAACCACUAUUAGCUUGCUUCCCAAAUGUCUCAGUGGCAAUAUGCUUAUCCUCAGAAGCUCAAGCAAACGACGAUGGUAAAUUUUCUACUCGGAUAUGUUAAAUUUGAUAUUUGCAUUGCAUAUGGAACACAUAAAGUACCUGUAAUUUGGAGAGCUCUCGACAAUAAGCACUAGGUAAUAUAUCAGGACGCGUGCUUAGAGCCUGCCCGAGCUGCAAAAGAGAACUCAAGUUAUAGUUGUGCGUUAUGAUAAAUAAAACCUAAAUAGAAAAUGUCAAUAAUAUGAGAAGAUACAUAAAAAUAUAUACACCGACACUCAGAACUUAUGCAAAUGAUUUUUAAAAGCUUUAUGAUUAAAGAAGCUAAAAAAAACCGCAGAUGAAAAUGGUACUAAUUAUAGCUUGUACGAUGAUUACACCAAAAUCAGUAACAUGACAAACCUUUGUCUAAGUUAUGUAUCAUAUUAACUUAAUUACCUUGAUAUAAAAAGGGCCCAAGCGUAUCAAAGUCUCCCGGAACUGAAAUAAGCGAAACAACAAGCAAAUCAACGAAAUUUGCAUAAAACCCAAUAUAACACUUCUCUUAUAGUUAUAAUGCAUUACGUGAUACUCAAACACACACAUUAAUCAAGCUAAGCUGUAUAAGAUCUCAUACAUGCCUAAGAAGAGCUCAUUAGGCGAGAUCGAUACCUUCUCAGCGCGCUUGCGCACGUCCUGGAGGACGAAGUGCCACACGGUCAGCUUGGCGACCUGGAAGGAGAUUAUCGCGGCGCGGUAGAGGGCGAGGAAGGGCCCGAAGCGGUGGAAGGCGAAGAUCGUCCUCGAGCGGGCGCCGAGGAUGUGGCCGAACUCGCUCUCCAGCGCCUCCUUGCGCAGCCUCGCGUACUCCGCCGAGGGCCUCUCGCCAUGGACGCUCGUGAACCCCGCCGAGUACCUACGAGGUCGAGGAGAGGUCGUCGGAUCAGCGGAUCCCGGUCCCGUCAAUGGAGGAGGAGGGGCAAGGGGGGAGGGGGCGAACUCACCGGCGAAGGAGGGGGUUGGUGAUUAGGGCUUCGAUCGGGGCGGGGUUGGAGGGGAGGAGAUGGGAUCGGGGGAGAGGAGGAGAGAGGAUGCGGCGGCGGUGGCGGCGGAGGAGUCUCGGGAGCGCGUUCGCCAUGGGAAGGGGUUCGAACACACACACACACAGAAGAAGAAGCGGCGAGAGGUGGGAGAGGAGCGGCGACACGUAGCCCGCUCCGUUUCGAGAGGAGCAGUCGAGUUGAGUAUGCGGCGAAUUUAUUUAUUGAGUUAAUUUCAUACAGGUCCCCAAAAACAUAGCAAAUUACAAAUUUUUCUUUACAAAGUUUAAUUUUUAUAUAUUAUUCAUGUAAAAAUCUUAAAAUUUAUAAAUAUGUUUCUUCCGUUAGAAUCCGUUAGAAAACUUUAAUUAACCAUAGGUUAAAUUCUUAACUCUGGUUAAUUUAUGAGAUAAUUUGAUAUUUUUAUCCUUCUUAUAUUAUACUGUUGUGCUUUUUGAAAGAACAUAUUUAUGAUGGUAAAAUUGACAUCUCACUUAAAAUAUGUUUUAUAACGGUAACAAAUCGAAAUGAUAUAUUUGAAAAUAUUAGAACUUUUACAAAAAUAACAUAUAAAAGUUGAACUUUGUAGGGACAGAUUUGCAAUUCACUAUAUUUACAGGAACAUAAAUGCAUUUAAUCCUUAUUUAUUUUUGAGAAAACUUCAAAUAGGAUUUCACGUUUUUUUCACUUUAAUAUUCUGUAAUUCAAAGUGUAUCACUUUAAUAUUCUAUAAAAUUUUCGUUAUUUUUUUCAUUAAUUUUUUAUUAAAUUAGUCAAAAAAUAAAUUACGGGUACUAAAGUAAAAAUUACUUCUUGUAUACUCCAAAAAAGGGAUGUACAUCUUACAUCCGCGUUCUAGAGUGAAUAAAAAUCAAAUUAAUUUUUAGUAAAAUUUUAAAAAAUUGAUGUAACAAGAAUAACCUUAGGAUGAAGUAGGUGUAAAAUAUACACCUCACUUUAGGAUGUACCUGUAGUAUUGCUCAUAAAUAUUUGAUAAACUAUAGAUAAGGAGGUAUCAAAAGAUUUUUUUCUAUAUUAUUUAACGGAGAGUUAACGGAAGUGCUGAUUUAAAAAAAAAAACCGAAACCACAGGAUUAAAGUGUACACUCUUACAAAACCACAGGAUUAAAGUGUACACUCUAACUCACAUAGUACUAAAAUUAGAAAGCGUGAAACUACAGGAGUGGUUUGUGAAGUUUUCGUUUUCUUUUUUUUUUUUCUUUUUUUUUUUUGGUACACGGUUAGUGAGGGGGCUACCGCAUUAGAUGUUGGGCAUAUAAUGGGCCGAGCCUAUAGAGAAGCCCAGCUAUAUAAUUGGCCCCUUUGGAUUGGACCAAAACUCGACUCGGCCCACACGUGAUACAAGGCCGUGGCCCGUGGAAGUAAAUUUAUCGGUGGACUUGGUGCACCACGUCAGGCAUGGACCCGAAUGUAGGGUAAAUAAAUUACGCACUUAGCAAACUAAUUAACAUUUCCUACAAUUUAUGCGCCUCACUCGGUAUGCGCUUAAUUAAAUUGGGUUUAAUCUAUAUUUUAAAUUUUUCUGGCAAAUUGGAUCGUUAUAGUAGAAUUUAGUUCGAAACGUUGGAUCGACAAACAAAGUCCCCAUUUUACGUUUAAAUUUUCGAUCGAAAUUUUAACACAAAUUCUAAAAGAUGGAAUGUGCCAAGCCUCAAACUAUAUAGACUCCGUUUGAAAUUGCGGGGACGAAAGUGCUACAUACAAUAAGAACAAUGCACAAUAAAACGAGUAUUACAAUGACCCAGUUAAGAUACAAUUUCAUACAAUAUCAUUAGACCUAUGAAGAGACCCAAAUUUGAACUUCAGAAAACAGCAAAAAGCAGUUCAAAUUCGAACUUAAAAGACUCAAAUAGACCACAUUAAUCUCCAAGAAAACACUCUAAACUCAUCCUAGAAUCCUAAGGAAAUCUAAAAACUACAUAAUUUAGCGAUCCAAGAGGCUCCAACUAGCGGGCCACGAAUGCAUGUAGAGAGAAACAUGAAGACGAGAAAUCAGAAAAGAGCUGAAGCUCACAAGUGGUGAAGUAGACCUUUCACGAGUGAUUCUUCGAUACAACAAAGAAUAGCUUUGCAAGUUGCAACCUAAGAUGUAUACAUGAAGCAUAAAAUUACGGUGAACCAAACAACGGAAGUGGUCAGUUUUCACCGAAAAUUACUUUCUCCUUCCCACUUCCACUCCACUUCCGUGCAAACAAACAGGCCCUUAGAUGAAGCUCACUUCCAGUUGUCUAUUACCCAUGCUAUUCAAACACGAUGCAAGAGGAACAAGGAGUGAAAAGCUCUUCAGCAAACAGAAUUAUCAGACAUCAAUUAACUACCUUUUCACCUGAAUAUGCAUGCUUCGAUGGUCGCUUACAACAUAAUAUCAUAAAUUUCAGAUUAUAGUCGUGUUUCAUUCAGACCAUUCCAAUAUGUGGAUAUCAGAGAGUGCUACAUUGAAUAUGGAGUAAAUACUUGAGAGUAAAUACAUUGGAGCCUAGGGACACCAAAUCAGUGAAUGAAUUUAUCAAUAGUACGAUUCUCUAAAGAAGUCGGUUCUCGUGAUAUCUUAUAUCUGAACAAACUUGAACUUGUUGAAAGUCUAUCAAAUCAGAAAAUCAUGUUAGAGUUAGAAUACGCUUUAGUCCAAUCAGUAAUAAGCUGAUCGAUUCGAAAAUAAUAGAAUUAUGGUGCUUCCAAGAUAAUUAAAUAGUCAUGCGAAGAACUAAGCCCUCUUGGCAGCACACUCUGUUACAUUCGGAGAAGGUUAAAACAGAACACGGCGUUGCAUCUGCAUGUCGGUGGCAAUCCAACCGCAUAAGAAGUUUCGAAAUAUACAAACUUUUUUCAGAAUGCAUUCAACUGCCCAUCUCUUUCGUAUAUUUCAUCCGAACAAACUACCAUGAGAUGAGGCCAACUUUCGCAUCGAUUUUUUAUCAUGUUUUAUGACAAUAGACUCCAAUAAAUUAGCCCGUUAUUCUACUUCCGCUCGGCACUUGACAGUUGAAACUUGAGAUUGAGUCAUCGAAAGAUAAUGAACUAAUACCUUGUUUUAUGGGCUAACAAAUACCUUCAUAAACAAAUGGUGACAUAGUAACUUUUUCUAAAGUAGGUGACGAAGUAUCUGAUUCUUUGCCCACCCAAACUGCUUCAACUACUACACUGCUUUAUUAACCCAUAAAACAAGUAUAAAAACAACACAAACAAAUCCAAGUCAUAUACCAAUCAAACAAGAAGAUAAUUUGAUGGCACACGCGACACAAAUUAACAAAGUAAAUCUUAGCAGCAGCAGCAGCAGCACGAAAAUUAAAGCGUCAUUGUUUACACGACCAGGAAUUUUCAAGUGACCAUGCCACAAAAUUUCACCUUUCUAAUUCCAUCAUCAUAUAUGUACAAAGCAUCUUUACACCGAAAAUUAUAUAUAUAUAUAAUAUGUAAAAGGAAUAAGACAAAUUGUAGCAUAAUAUCUAUAUGUUGAAGAGGCCGUACUCAAGCACGAAGUCGCUUCCUUAUACGGGGGGGAUGUUGGAAAAGGAGAAGCCUUUGUACCCUUUAUACGCAUAAUACGCGAUCCUCGUGUAGUAGAACCCCGGGAUGAACAUGAUCGCCCCCAAAACCGCAAAGAAAACCCCUAACGCAACCCAAAUUUAAGAAUUAUUCGAAGUGAAUUGGGAAGGAAAUCCACAAAAAACCCUAAAAAUUUCCUUACCGUGGGCUCGAUCGCCCCCGACGCGAUUGAAGGCCAUGAGGAGACCGGCGAGGACGCCGAGGGAGCCAAAGACGAGGAGGGAGACGGCGAAGGCGAUCUCCUUCACCGGGGGGCGGCUGUCGACGGCGCGGGGGCCGGAGCCGUCGCCGCCGAAGAGGAUGUCGUCGUCCUCGGAUAUGGAGAAGGCGUGGUCGACGUACGCCAUGGGAUCGUAGAACUUCUUGGCCUAGGGUUAGGGUUUCGGAUUAGAGGAGAGGGAGAGGGAGAGGAAGAGGAAGAGUGUGGUGGGAGAUUUGAACAAGGAAAAGAACGAUGUUGCGUGCGGGGUAAAUAAUAAAGAGGGCGACCGGGUCUAUUAAGCCUAGAAGUUUUGACCCGACACCAUUGGGUCUAAACCCGACCCGACCCGUUUUGGGUCAGCCCGUUUAUACAGUCGGAAGUAAUUAAAAAUAUAGUGUAAUUAAAAAUAUAUACAGUUAAAAAUAUGAAUAAGAAAUACUACAAGUAUAAAUAAUUUAGUUGAUUAGUGUAUUCUUAAAGUUUUAUCAUUUUACAUAUGUGAUGAUUAAUUAGAUUAUUCUCAAUUUCGAAAAAAAAUAAUUUAAUGAGUGAUUAGAAAAGUAACCUUAUUUUUUAUUUAAAAUUAGUAUCUCCGCAUACUGUAUUUGAACCUUAGUUUUAUUUCUAAAAAUUGAAUUCAAGUGUAUUAAACUAAACAUCAAAUUUGAAUAUGUAUAAAGUUAUAAUUACAUGCACUAUAGUUAUAACAAUAUAGAAUCAAACAAAUCUAAAAAUAUGUGCCUCGAAUUUAAGCUCAUUUAAUGAUACAGAGGUUCGAACCAAGAUAUUUAAUUUGGUAGAUAGUUUGAUGGAUUGAAUUGUGUAAGACGAUUUGUAAACGGGCCAGGUAGGGUUCGAAUGAGAAAAACAAGUACUAACAACUUUAGGAUUGACUAAUUAUCACCAUUAUUAUUAUUAUCUUAUGUUAAAUCAAUUCGAAACCAAUCUGAUUUGACCUAUUUGUCACUCUCCUUAAUUAGCUACAUAAUGAGCCUCAAUUAUUAUUAUGUCACUCUUUGUUGUAAGUGUAAAAAUUUAAUAUUGGAUAACGAUGUGCGAACCCGAUCCACUAGUCCAAGAACGAUGAGCCCAAUAGCCGAAGUCAAUUUUUUGGCCCAGUUUGUACAGUGUUGGGCCUGGCCCAAUUCAAUUAUUAAAUCGUUUUACUUUCCCUUCUAAUCAACGUGUACUUUGGAGAAUGACUUGAAUCUAAAACUCAAUGCUCGGGGAAAAAGUUACCGACCAAUCAGUCUCUUGGUGGUUGUGGAUACGUAUGUAAUAUAGAAUCUAGGCAGAGCUAGAUCUGUACUUUACGAUCCAACUCAAGCUUGUUUUCGAACAUGACUCGGCUCACAUGGCCUCCCGCCACAAGGCGGGAUGCUGGCGCAUUUAAGCCAACAAUCCCCCCUCCAGCACGUGCACACAUUUGCAGCAUGCGGGAAUCGAACCCGUGACCUCUGGCUCUGAUACCACUUGUCGGAUCGUUGGCGCUAACCAUUAAUCCCAAAAGCUCGAGCUGUUAGAAAUACGCAACCAAUUCACUUAAAGCGUAUAGAAACAGCGCCCACAGAUCUCGAUUGUGACUCGGCCCACCUGGCCUCACGCCACUUCGAACAUGACUCGGCCCAACCCAGUCUCACGUCAUUUCGAACAUGACUCGGCCCACAUGGCCUCCCGCCACAAGGCAGGAUGCUGGCGCAUUUAAGCCAACAAAGCUCAGCUUGUUUGUACUAAGCUUCGAGCUCGGGCCAGUCGGAUGGACUAUCCGGCACAUGAUUAGGCCUUAGUCUCAACCGAUUAGUGUGAUUCGACAAGGACACUAGUUGUAAUUGUGUCGUGAACCUAAUUUAGGGCAUUUUUUAGCUCAAUUGAAACUUCUACGAAAAGUAUCGUGAUAUUUCCAUUACAAAAGCCACCAACAACUUCUUCGCCAAAAUUUUCUCGGUAACUUGAUGCAGUAAGCUUCUCCUUUCGGGGCCCCGCCCUGACCUAAUCAAUUACUGGGGUUGAAUUUGAAUCCGAAGUUCUAACUGUAAUUAGGGAUCUUAUUAUACUAUAAACAAACUUUACUUUCUUCUACAUAAAACCUAGAGAAAGAUUUGCUGGACUUGGCAAAAGGUGUGAGAAUCCAAAGACACAAGAAUUAAAGGGAUUGUGUCUCUCCCUUUGCUUGUAAGCCAAGUUGUAAUGAGUAGAGAUGUAGAUACAUGUGGGCCAUCAAUUUAUUCAUAUACCCCACUCCAUCUUAUACUCACACUUUCAUAUAUCUCAUCUACUUUUCAAUGCAAAUUAACCAUGUGAGAACCUGGUUAAACCACAUUAGAAUUUGGAAUGUAGAUCACAAUAAGUUUAAAUAUCGAUCAAUGGAGCCUGCUAUUGUUCAAGCUAUAACUCGAAAACUAAUUUUGAGCAUUUUGAGCAUAGGUUUGUGAUCGAGCUCGACUUAAUAUCCCUCCGCAGGAGCGUUAAUCAAGCUAAAUUUCAAGCCAAGUUGAGAUCUUACGCUAAACAUUGUUUCGAAAGCUCGAGCUGAAAAGAAAGAAUGAUUGUUUCACCUGAAGCGUACAGACACUUAGUAAGUGAAAAUGUAAAUUGAAAGCUUCAAUUUAUGCGACCAUUUAAGUUCACAUUUGAGGGCCCAAACAGUAAAUGGAGGGGAAUGAGAGCAUGGAUUAGUCAAUUAAGAAGCUUAAAAAAGAAAAAUGCAUUUGAAUUAAAGUGGCUAAUGAAUAGGAUUAAGUAAGAAGUAUGGUUCCUUGCAAUAAUUAGAUAUUGUACAACCACCUAUUUAACCUAUCAAGUGAGGCUCUUUUCUUUUGUUGCACUUUGUUUCAACUCACAUGCCUUUGCCUCCUCUUCAGGGAUCUACUCCCUUAACUCUCUCUCUCUCUCUCUCUCAAAAAAAAAAAAAAAAAAAAAACUCUCUCUCUUCUGGGGAAAAAAAAAAAUGUAAUGAGACCCCUGAGUUUCUUUUGAUAUAAGUUGUUUUUAUUAAUUAGUUGAGAAAAUUUAAUUUCCACAAUAUUCUGUUAAACUUUGCUAAUCCAAGUACUUUUUUUAGAGGAUGUAAUUAAUUCUGAAUUUCAUCAAUUAAUGAUUAGUAAUAACUAACAGCUACGUACCAAGUCAUUAAUAUUUUAAAUAAAUCCCACACAUUUAUUUUUUUAAAGGAGAUCAUGCAUCAUGUUCCAUCAUUUCGACCCCCAUUCAAUUGAGUAAAAUAAUUAACUUAAUUAGAUCACAUACAAAUACAAAUCGUUAAAAAUUUAAAAAUAUUUAUAUUUAUAUAUAUAAAAGUGUAUAAUAAAUUAAUUAAGUUGGAGGCCCUAGCUACUUUAAAAAAAAAAAAUAGCCUAUAUAUUUUUGAAAGAAAACAAAGUACUAAAAAGUUCAUAAAAUUCAUACUUCUCAGGAUCAAACAUAUUUGAGAAUUCGCGCGAUCACAAUUCGAAUGAAAUUCACGCGUAAAAUAAAAUAAAAUGACAACUUAAAUUAAUUUCUAUCUACAUAUAGAUGAUAUAUACACAUUAGCUAGUUACUAUAAAUUUAAGCAAUUCCCAUGUUAUAUAUAUAUAUAUAACUCAAACCACUCGUAUUAAUUCAUUAUUUGCAGUACAAGAGAAACAUGCAUGCAUCGAUCCAGAAACAAAAAUAUUUAUCAUCCAAAGCUGGUCGUGAAACACCCCCCACCCAAAAAAAAAAAAAAAAAAAAAAAAAAAGAAAAAAAUUAAAGAGAGGAUAUUACAAAUGAUCGAAGCUGGGGUUUUCAAAUUGUUCGAAUUUGAAAUCAAUCAACCUACACGGAUUCUCUUGCUGGGCGGGCGCCGGAGGGCGACGAACACUGCGUCGAGAUCGCGGGGGACGGGGCAGAAGCCCUGCGGGUGCGGGGGCGGGGGCGGGGGGCGGAGCUUCGGUCUGGCGGGGGGGGNGAGGGGCUGCCGCCUUUUUCUGGGCGGGGGAGGACAGGCGGACGCUGGCUUGAGCACGUGCUCCGCCGACUUCGGCGUGACGCAGCUCUGAUCAUCGCUGCUGCAGUCACUGCCGUCGCCUACUUUCACGUCGGCAUGAGGGCCUGCUGGUGCAGCAGCUGCUGCUGCUGCUGCUGUCUUGAUGGAUGGGAGCGAGGGGAAUUCGCCGAAGACGGCGAGUUCUAAGCCCAUCGGAAAGAAGAAAGAUCGAGAUCAGGUGCAGUGGUAGAGAGAGAGAGAGAGAGAGAGAGAGAGAGAGAGAGAGAGAGACUGCUAAGUAGGCGUGGAGAGACACAUGAGAUGGUGGUGAUGAUGAUGGAGUUUUGAGGCAAGAGGAGAGGAAUAAGUUGUGUGUGUGUGUGUGUGUGUGUGUGAGAGAGAGAGAGAGAGAGAGAGCGCGAGAGAGAGAGAGAGAGAGAGAGAGCGCGAGAGAGAGAGAGAGAGAGAGAGAGCGCGAGAGAGAGAGAGAGAGAGAGAGAGCGCGAGAGAGAGAGAGAGAGAGAGAGAGCGCGAGAGAGAGAGAGAGAGAGAGAGAGCGAGAGAGAGAGAAGAGGAACAGAAUUAUAUGGAGAGGCAGUGCAAUUUGGGAGGAGUUAAAAUAUAUUUAUAAGGAGGAUCUCCUUUAGAGAGAGAGAGAGAGAGAGAGAGAGAGAGAGAGUGAGUGAGGGUUUACAAUGCAAAUGAUUGUAAGGAAUGAGAGGUACAAUGCAAAUGAUUGUAAAGAAAGAGAGAGAAAGAGAGAGAGAGAGAAAGAGGAGAGAGAGGCAUAAUUGGAAGAGAGGUUCAAAAAGUGUGGAUAAGCACCCCCAACUAGUAAGCUAUUUAGAAAAAGGAAUGCUACCUGUAUAUCUAUAAUAUAAGUGUGUUAUAUUCUUGAUUUAUGAUAUAAUUGUGUAAGGCGUAUACUUUAUAAUAAGGCGUACAGGUAUGUAGUAUUUUUUUUUUAUUUUGAAAAAAAUAUUCAAAUAAUUUUGUUACGUCUAACUUCUACUUUUCCGUUAAGUCAAAAUAAUCGUAAAUUUCAUCAAUUGUGGAUUUAAAUUAAGAAAUUUAUAAACUUUGCAAGAUUCAACAGCUCCAUCUCUUUUUAACUAGAAAAAUAUAUAAAUUCCAUCAGAUAACAUAUAAAAGUUAAAUCAGAAUAGAUAAAAGUCGAGUAUAUUAAUGUCAGAAAAGAAACAAAAAAUAAGGGACUAUCAACAACAAUGACCUAUAUUUUAGGGGGUUCUUCACACAUUCUUACAAUUUGGAGGUGGAAGGUACAUGGAAGAAGAAGAAGAAGAAGAAGAGGAGGAGAUAAGGAAAUAGGAGUUAUAAUUAGGUAGCUUUAAUUGUGGACCUAGUUGCUUCAUGUGUCAUGUGUGUGGUGUUACAAUGUACAUGCAUGGAGUGUAAUCUACUCCUCUGCCAAUAUUAUGGGGCCCACAUUGGAGUGAAUGGGACCCACAUCUCUUGUAGGCAUAGUGGGCUACACAAUGGUUUGAGUGGGCCCUAUGUUCCCUUGUGUGGCCCAUCUAGACCCAUCAAUCAAUCUCCACCAUUCAUUCACCCUUAUUACUAAUUAUUAUCAUAUAUAUAUUUCAUUAUCUUGUAGCCAAAAAAAAUUUUUAAAAAAUAAAAAAGGUUAAUUAUUUAUUUUCUCUCUAUGAAAUGAAAAGCCACUUGUCUUUUGGAGAGAUCCAAAAGAAUGGUAUAGAAGCUCAUGGAGCCUUCUUUUUUUUACCCAUAGAAUUUAUUGAAUAUUUGGGCACAACUUGGUCAAAUUUGGCCACUUAAUAAGAGAGUAAUUCAGACUACCCAAAAUAUCAAUUUGGCUAUUUAACACCGUCGCAUACGUAUAUAAUAGAUAUAAAUGAUACGUAAAAUUAGCUGGUGAAGAAUUUAAUCCGACAACCUUAUGAAAUGAAAAAAAUUAUAAUUGGCUCUGGUAUCAUCAUAUUAUUUACAAAAUUGAUAUGAUGGGAAAUGAAUCCAUAAAUAUAUUUAACACUAGAGCAUUAAAAGUAGAUCUACUAUGGCAUUUAAUAUAGGGGUAGCCCAUGUUUGGCCCUCAUUCCAUUCCACUCAAAACUCAUGUAACAAAGAUGAUAAGUGGACAGAAUAUUCUUUAAUGCAUGUCUCUCCCAAAAUGGACUUAGCUGCAAAUUAAAAACCCCUUUAAUUUUUUGAGAAAUUACAAGGGUGCCAUCCCAAUGCUACAUGGUGAAAAGUUUCAUAACCCAGAGGCUAGAUCUCAUAUUCUCUCUCUCUUCCUCUCCCCCCCCUCCUUUUUUCUCUCCAUAGACAAAAGCUGUUGAUAUCACAUGGCAUUUAUUGGGUAUGGAGGGUUUAACUUUCCCUUUAAAUAUGAUUAAUUAAGCAAAGUAACUUAGCAUAUAUAUAGUCAUAUGAUUAAUAUAGUUCCAAAUCAAUAAGAAUACCAUACUUAUAUAUGUUAUUUUUUUUUGUGAAUAUAACAUUGAUUUCUGAUAUAUAGUUGGCCACUACUAAUUAUGAAAGAUCAAUUGACAAAGAAUUAUGUCUUCUUAAUUUCUUAUAUAUAUAUAUAUCCCUAACUUGUUGAAUUUUUCCUUUUUUUUGUUUCUUUUUUUGGAUGAUUAAUGUGUAAAUAAAUGCUUUAAUUGCUGUAAUAAAAUGGCCCCAGAGAAACUAAAUUCACCAGACCAACAACCUAAUUAAAGCAACAUGGUUGAUAAAGGGAGCACAUUGUAUUUUUGGGAGAUCCUAGGACCACUAAAUAAAAGGUGUAGCUCAGAAGCUUCAUCUCUAAGUGCACAAUCACAUUGCUGUUCUAGUUUGGGUACACUCACUGGAGGAGUUUAUAUAUUCCUGUACCAGUUUAAUUAAUUUGGAUCAUGAUGUGAUGUUAAUUUGAGCAUUUGUACAGUCUCAGAAGAAGCACUAUAUUGAAAUUUGUCGAUAACUUCUCUCAAUUUAUAGUAGAAUCAGAAGCUUUGGAAUGGACCUUUUGCUUUCGCCCGUCACAUGCAGUAAAUGCUCCAGACAUUUUUAUUUGUCAAAUGCUCUAACAGAGAAGAAAAGCAAUAGCAGAGCCAAACAUGCCCUUUUUACUGGCGAUCGAAGAGUUUGUAAGAGCACAGCUAAUACAGUAGUCGAAAUGAAUCGCAAUAUGGAAUGCAUUAGUGGACUACUUAAUUGGUCUAUGCCAUGACAAAUUAAGAGAGCUAAUUUUAGUGAACAUGUAUUGAAUUGGAUGUAGAUAAUAAGAAACUAUACUAUGUAUAGAGAGGGGUAUGUAUACAUUUGAGAAAGAAGUUAUUUUGUGACAUAUUACAUGAUUUUCUUGCAUCAUUUUGUUGGUGGUUACUUAUUGCUCUUAGAUCCCAAUGAUCCUUCUCCAAUAAAUGCUAUUUACAUGCCUACAAUAAUAGAGAAGGCACUCAUUAAUUAGUUUCCAUGGAAGGAAAAUAAUUAGGUUCCCCCCAUUUUGUCCUCUUCUUUUUGAAGGAAAAAUUUUCCCCAAAAUUUUCAAGCUUUAAUUAAGGCUCACUUAUUAGCCUAUUAGGGAAGAUUGUAAAAGGAGAAUUUACAUCCUACCUAAUAAUAGACAUAUAUAGUUGGCUUUGUGCAUGUGGGGCUGCAAUAGGUUAGGUGAAAGAUGCUGUUCCCCUAAUGGGUCACCUUGUUUUCAGAGAAUAUACAAGAGUUAGAACAAUUUAAAAACUAUACAAGAAUUAGUGAGAAUUUAAUGGUUAUUAGGGAACAUAAUUUGUAUGGUAAUUAUAUGAGGUGGAAACACUAGUAGGAGUAUGGAGUAAGGAAGGUAUAUAAUGUACCAUGUAUAAGAGUGUUUGAAAAGGAUUGCCACCCAAUAAAGAGUUUCAUGGAGCUGUCUUUAGUUGGCAACUUUGGCAUGCAUCCAUAUGACCAUAUGCUUUUUCCAAUAUGGUUGACUUUAGAAUUUUCAGAGAUGAGAUAAGACAUAGGGAUUAGGGUUGGUGUGUGGGAGAAGACACUUUUUUUUUUUUUUUUUUUUUUUAACUAUUCAUCAAUCUUAGUGGUAUAGAACCUGCCAAUUCUAAGUUAUGUCAUAAAUUAAGCACAUCCUAAAUUGAACAAAAUAAAGUAUUAUAGUGUUUGAAUAGUAGAUUCAGAUAUUUGAUCUGUCGAUGACUUUUUAUACUGUUAAUGUGGUCAUCCCACAGUGACCAAACACAUGAUAAUAUGGGACUAUUGGGAUGUUACAAAAUCUCUUACUUAAACCUUGACAUAUUCAUCUUGCUCUAGCUUAAUAUUAUUACGUGAUCCAUCUCAUACUUUUAGCUGAUAAACUGAUUAUGAUACCAAAUGUAAUAACUCAACCUUGUGAGCACUACUAACUCGUUGUGCCAAACAACUAGCUCAAAAUGAUUAAGUCUAGUCAUUAUUAUUUAGAACCCUUAGUCCUUAUAUUUUUAUGUAUAUAUAUAUAUAUUUUUCAUUCGAUACGAGACUAUUAAAGCAGUUGCCAUAGGUGGAGGAAUCAUGGGAGAAGUGUGGUGCAACAAAGGAAGUAGAUACAUGAGAGAGAGAGAGAGAGAGAGAGAGAGAAUCUCAUUGGGCAUUGGAAAAAAGAGAAGCAUGAAAUUGAGUGAGUGGGGAUAACUAGCUAAUAAAUCCAAAUAUUUUAGGGCUUAAUGAAUCCAAAGAUAACAAGGGAAGGUCAACUGCAUAAGAUCCAAUGAGAGAAAAGAGAGUGAGAAGAGAAAAAAUAUUAUUGCCUGCAGCUGGUGCACCGUUAGCUCAUGCACCGACACCCCCUGUUAUGUGUUGCUUCGAUCCUACCAUCAAGUAAGUUACAUUUCUUUUCUCUAUUUAACACUUAAAAAUAGUUCGAUUAGAAGUGUGAGACGAGAUAAAUGACUCAUGAAUAUAUAGGUGGUAACUAUUAAACUAACAUGUGUUUUCGCAGAGCAUGGGCAAUAAUCAAGAGAGCGAGAGAGCGCGAAAGAGAGAGAGAGAAUAAGUUUGUACUUAAGGCUUGUUUGGCUACGUUGCAUUCGACUCAAUACUUUAGCAAACAGUUUAUAUUUGUGAUUAUGGGCUAAUGUCACAAUUCGAUCGACUACGCCAAGUAGUCUAUUUAGCUCGAAACUGCAGUAUGUAAAAGCAAAAGCUAGACCAAACAAGUUGUUACUUUGUAAACCUAACAAAGUUUUCAUAGCAAAUUAACCAGCUGUAGUUACAUCAAUGACCCUUAAAAUUAACUAUAUAUAAAAAUCACAUACUUUUAAAAGAGUAGCGAGGUGAACUCAUCCUCCACAUGCAUGCAUAGUCAUGAUGCACAUGGGUUCAAUAAGUAAAAAAGAAAAGCAUUAAAAGAAUUAGAAGAGCACAUUACACUCUAUUGGGUCAAUUAAGUUAAUUUGGAUUAAGCCACUCUUCCUCUACUCUUAAUCUUUUAUUAUAUACAAUUAGAAGACAUUUAUUCUCGUCUUAUGCUCCUGAUCAAGAGAGAUCUACAGAGAGAGAGAGAGAGAGAGAGAGUAACACCUUAAUUAAGACAUGGGAAUAUAUGGUGUGAGAUAUAUAAAAAUAAUUUAUAAUGUACAAUAUAAGCUCAAAGGCACGUGAAAGGAAGUGGGGGUGAGUAGUGAGGUGACCUUAAAAUGUAUAAAAUAGGGAGAGUUAGGUGGUGUGUCAACGUAUCAUGUCUCAUGUAUGUGGAGAAUAUGUACUAUUCAUUUAUUUUAAUUUGAGUACAUUGUAUAUAAAUAUGUAAAGAAGGGUAAUCUUUCUUAGUAGCUUAAGAUGCAAUGAAACCACAUUGGACUUCUUUAUUUUCUUAAUUUUAAUAGAUCUAGAUCUAUAAAUAAUGGUUAAAAGAUCGAAUGCGCGGACUUGUUAUAUAUUGAUGACUAGCUCGAUUUUCUAAUAUAACAGCUAACUAGUAUUUUAGCUUUGUGAACUUGAUUUUUAAGUCAAAAUGUUAAUUAAGCAAGGGUAAGUGAUAACAUAUAUCUUUAUUAAGAUCAUUGAAAAGGGAGUGUGAUAUAUAUAUAUCAUCAAAUAUUAUUUUAAAUAUAAUGAAAUUAAACUUUUUAUUGACUUUUACUACACAAAUUGAAAUGUUGUGGUGCAUAAAUCCCUCUACCUAUUAAUUACUAGCUCCCCAUGGGAUUCUUUUUACUUUCCUUUCACUCCCCAUUUCCAAUGUCUUAUACUAUGAAUUCUUUCGCUUUUGUCCCUUUUCUCUUCUCAUAUAUGUCCCAUUUACUAGCCUAACCUAUAAUUCCAUUUUUAUUUGAUUGCUAAGUUGAAUUUGAAAAAAAAAAAAAAAUGGAAUCACUUAAUAUUUUAGGCACAAAAGCCACCAAAUCCACAUAAAGUUCCAAAUCUAGUUAGAUUAAUUAUAUGUAUAUAGGAUUUUGUCCUCUUGUUUAUGUUGUUACCAACUCAUCAAUAGCAUAAAAUAAUUAAGUAGAGUGAGAUGGGUAUCAAUUUCGAAUAUAUCUACAUUGGAUGCCUUAUUUUGAUAGUGAUACUUAUGGUGGUUAUACAUGACACAACUUGAUAUUUAUUGUGGCCUAAGUAUUGAUAAAUUAAAACUUAGAUAUAUUUGAGAAGAGGUACUAUUGUUUAAAAAUAUUUCACACGAGACAAAAUGAAAUUGUUUGAGCACAAACUUCUCUGUCCCAUAGAAUAUAGAUCUUGAAGAAGCUCAAACCUUGUUCACUAUUAUUGUACAAACCUUGUUCACUAUUAUUGUCAUUUUCUUGUUUUUUUGUUUUUAACAAUGGAAUAUGUGAGUAGAUGUUGGAGUACUUGCAACUCUAUAUAUCUAAGAGUUUAUUUGACAAUAAGAAAUAGAGAAAUAAAUUUUUUUUACUUAGUUGAUUCUGUAAAAAAAAAAAAAAACUGUCUUUUUAUACUUAACCAGAUGCAUUACAAGCUAACCAAUAAUAACAAGCAUAGAGAAGUUCAUCCAUCGACACGUCUUACAGUAUUAAAUUCCCAUUUAUAGCAAAAAAACCAAAAUAAUACCAAAUUUCUUCUUUUAGUGAGUCAUUUUUUUCUUUGUUCUUUUUUGAAAAAAAAAAAAGGAAGGAAGAAUUAAGCAAAAGCAACUCAGUAAGCCUAAUUAGCACUAUUUUUUGACAUUUUGAUUUUGCCUCCAAAUUAAAUUGCACAUCUAUUAUGUUGGGAAUUAAACUCUCCUUUUUUUAAAAAAAAAAAACUUCAAGGUUUCCUUUAAAUUUCCUCCUUUGCAGAGUUACCAAAACAUAACUUAAUUUCUAACACAAUAUCCAAAUUUUUUAAGCUAAGCAAAUUAAUGUUCCUAAUCAGACACUUUCUCAUGUUUCGAAUUAAAUUUUAUGACUUAAAAAGGAAAAAAAAAAAAAAGAGCACAAGAGGAGUAUAAGCAUUAGAUUACAACAAUCUUAUGAUUAUUAACUUAGUUUUUUUGCCCGCUUGUGGUUUAGUGUAUUUUCUCAUUAAUUACCAUCAUGGUUCAAAAAAUUUUACUUAGUUAUCUUGUGAUUUUAUUUUUGUUUCUCCGUAAGAAGCUACUAUUAAAUAGAAUAAUAAAGAAAUAUUUUUUUUUUGAAAACCAUAAGACAUUACAGUAUAGUUUUAUACAUUCUCUAAUCUACAUUUAACUACAUCUGUGAUUUCUAAACAGUAUUGCUUUACUACGCCGUUUUAGUGAAAAAUUUUACAGCGACGUAAAAAUAAAACCACAGAAUUGUUCUUUCUUUUAUGACUAUUAAUUGUAAAGUUGCAUCGUGGUCAGAUUUCUCCGUUUUAAAGUAGGAGCCUUAGUGGAGGCGAAUUCGGACGAGGGGGACGUACGACAGCUUUGGACACAGUUCUCGGACAUCCCCGAGGCUGUAACGAGAUAAAAAAUCUUAACCAAGUUGGCGGCAAUUUGGUGGGUUGUCUGGACGGAGCGUAACGGCAUUUGCUUCCGCGACGUGCCUCUUAAUAUUUCCCGGGCUCUCGAACGUGUCGCCGUUUUGAUCGAAGCCUGGAACGAAGCACUUUGAUUCUCUCCUGUGCUCUGCGUUUUGCCCUCUGUUUUCCCAUUUUUGUUUAGUUGGGUUUUCACUUGUUUCCUGGGUCGCUCGGACCUGGUUUUGUUCUCUUGUUUUUCCCUCGUUCUCUCCGCUCGGAGGCCCUAGCUGCUUCCAGCUUGUAUGCUAAAUUCAUGUUUCUUAAUGAAUGAAGCAGGUAGCUUGCUAUCUAUUUCUCAAAAAAAAAAGUUGCAUGGUGAGUAUAGUACUUUUUUGGCACUGAAGCAUGUCCUGAUGCAAGGAAGCACACAUAUGCAAUGGUGUAAGAUCCCAAGAUCAUUGUUUAUUACACAAAUUUGUUAAAUCACACAUUGUUUAUUA
rnacentral:lncRNA from 1 species